UUUGAAAGAGUCAUCACUGACGUCUCCUCUGCAGUAUUUAACAAUGAAGAGACUGAUCCUGAAACAAUAAAACCUCUCAGAACCACUCUCCCUCUCAGUCUAAGCAAUGGAGAGUGUUGUCUUGUAUCCAUCACCAGGGAUGGGUCACCUCAUCUCAAUGGUGGAGCUUGGAAAGCUUAUACUGAAACACCAUCCUUCAUUCUCCAUCACCAUAUUCAUUGUCACUCCACCUUACAACACUGGCUCUACUGCUCCUUAUCUCGCCCGCGUCUCCUCCACCAUUCCUUCCAUCACUUUCCACCACCUCCCCACCAUUUCUCUCCCUCUCGAUUCUUUCUCCUCUCCCAACCAUGAAACCCUUGCUUUCGAGCUCCUCCGCCUCAACAACCCUAACAUCCACCAGGCCCUUGUGUCCAUCUCCAACAAUUCCUCCGUCCGUGCCCUUAUCGUUGAUUGCUUCUGUACAGCGGCGCUUUCUGUGGCUGCUCAACUCAACAUUCCAUUCUACUAUUUCUUCACUUCUGGCGCCUGCUGCCUCGCUUCCUUCCUUUACCUCCCUUUCAUUCACCAGCAGACUACCAAAAGCUUUAAAGACCUCAACACCCAUCUCCAUAUUCCGGGUUUACCGCCGGUACCGGCCUCUGACAUGGCGAAGCCGAUACUUGACAGGGAGGAUAAGGCUUAUGAGUUAUUCGUAAACAUGUCCAUACACUUGCCAAGAUCAGCUGGAAUCAUUGUGAACACCUUUGAAGCGCUGGAACCAAGAGCUGUCAAAACGAUUUUGGAUGGGCUCUGCGUCCUUGACGGUCCAACCUCACCAAUAUUCUGCAUAGGACCAUUAAUUGCAGCUGAUGAUCGAUCCGGUGGUGGUGGUGGUGGAGGGGGAGGUAGCGGCAUUCCUGAGUGUUUGACAUGGCUCGAAUCUCAACCAAAACGCAGCGUUUUGUUUUUGUGUUUUGGGAGCUUGGGUUUGUUCUCAGAAGAACAGUUGAAGGAGAUAGCGGUUGGGUUAGAGAGGAGUGGGCAGAGGUUCUUGUGGGUAGUGCGGAGCCCACCCUCCAAGGACCCGAGCAGGCGUUUUUUAGCACCACCGGAACCGGAUUUGAAUUCCCUUCUCCCAGAUGGGUUUUUGGAUCGAACCAAGGAGAGGGGCCUAAUGGUGAAGUCGUGGGCUCCUCAGGUGGCCGUCUUGAAUCACGCCUCUGUUGGAGGGUUUGUGACUCACUGUGGGUGGAACUCAGUGCUUGAAGCAGUGUGUGCAGGCGUGCCAAUGGUGGCAUGGCCACUAUAUGCCGAGCAAAGGUUUAACAGGGUGGUGCUGGUGGAGGAAAUGAAGCUAGCCUUUCCAAUGGAAGAGUCGGAAGAAGGGUUUGUUACUGCAACUGAGGUUGAGAAGCGAGUUAGAGAGUUGAUGGAGUCGGAGGAAGGAAACACCCUUCGUCUCCGGAUCAUGGCCAUGAAAGAAGCUGCUGAGACUGCAAUGAGCGACGGUGGAUCAUCCCGCACCGCAUUAACAAAACUGGUCAAGUCAUGGAGGCCAGGAUGAGAGAAAGAGAAGGCUGUUCGUCUUAGCUUUCAAUUUCUUCCAAAUCCCGAUUAUUCGGUACCACUUCAACCUAGCAAUUGUUUCAUUAGCAAAAUUUUGCAUUUCUUUUAGCAGUUCAAUUUUAUUGUGUUCUUGGGUAUUAAGUUUGUUAACCUAAUAGAAAAUAAAUAAAUAAAAAAAGACAAAUGAUUAAUAUCCCAUGAAGUGCACCAACAUUAAUAAUCUAAUAAUCAAAAUGAAUGAAAGGAAUUAUAGUGGUGAAGUUCUAAUAAAAAAACUCUUUCAAUUGAGGCUGCAUUUUAUAAAAAUAAAAAAUAAAACUUUAAACAUAAAAGGAUUAUAUAUAAUAGGGUAAAUUCAUCAAUUAUCACAUAAAAAAAUUAAAAAAAAAAAAUUGAAAAAGUGCUACCCCUUCCACCUUUACAAAUUGACCGGACAACUCAAUUCAUAUAAGCUUAUGGGGAACUCAACCCUUGCGAGCUGGUCGAACAACUUGAUCCUUGCGAGCUAUCCGAGCAGCUUGAUCCUUGGCAUUUGAACAAAAUACGAUAAUAUUGAUUCAAACUUCAUAAUCUAACAAGGUUUAAUUCCUUUCUUAACUAUUUCAUUUUUAUCACAAAUUUGGAUGAAUUUAAUUAUUCAAUACAAACACCUUUGGACCAUUUCUUGCAGUUUUCAAUGAUAAUCCAUAAAAACUUAGAUAUCAUGCUUGUAAAGUCAUGAACACGGAAGCAAAAAUAUCAUCUAUUAUUAGCAGAUAAAGUCCUAGGAGGGCCACACAUUCUUGAAAUCCAUACGUUUUUCCAAUGGAUACACCCUUCAGUGUACAGAUUUUUUUUUUGCAUGCGUGAAUAAAUGACAAUCCCGUUGUCACUUUGUUUUGAUCUAACAAUUUCAAAAUAUAUAUAUGUUCCUUUCUUUUACAUGUCAUUUUCCUUCUACCUUCUAAAAGUUGUCUUCUAGAGUCUCACUUAAAGUUGUUUUGGACUCUAUCGUGUGAUUGUUACAGCCAAUAUCUAGACAUUGAACAUCUUGUGAUUGAUUCUUCUCAAGUAUUCAUAUAAUAAAUACAAUUAGAAAUAUUAAUUCCCCCCUUUUCCAAUGUUGGGAUGGUACUCAUCUUUCACACCAUUAUUAGAACUGUCCCACCUUGAAGGUUUAUUAAAAAUAAAGCUUCCUAUUUGUGAUUAUCUUUAUUGAAAAUAUUAGAGUGACACCCCUAACCCAAGUAAUUAAGGCUAAGGGGACAAUGGUCAUUUCAUAGAUGGGCCCAAAGGUCUAACAUGUGAAUAAUGUCAGAAAUGUGAUAUAGUCAUUCAUUAAUGUUGGCCGGUUGCUUGUAACAUAUCAAAAUAGUAAUCAAAGAUUAUUAAAUCAACUUUGAAAAUGAAACAAAGUCCCACAUGCACGAGUAUUUAAAACAUUUUUCAAUUAGAUUUAAUUGAAAUAAAGUAAACUAACUAGCUAGUGGUAAAUAAUGGAGCAAAUUUUUUUUUUUGGUUUUUGCCUAUGAUGAGACGAGUUUGGAAGAAGUAUAAGUAGGUUAAGGAUGUGUUUGAGAUUUUUUUGAAACUUAAGACGGGUUGGACUAUUGCUUUGUCCCUCGCCACCAUAUCCCGAUUAUAUAUAGUUAUAAAAAUAAUUUAAUUUAAUUUAUUUUUUCAUUUUCCCCUUUUGUAACACAUAAAAUUUGCCAUAUUUUUUUGUUAAAAUUAAAAAAAAAAUUAUUUAUAAUUUUUUUUUAUAUAAUUAAAGUUUUUCAAAAAAUUAAAUUUUAAAAAUAAUAUAUAUAUAUAUAUAUAUAUAUAUAUGUGGUUUGAAAUUUCAUUGACUAUUUCCCUUAUUCCGAAUAAGAAAAAAGUGACUAAAAUUAAUAAAUGAAAAUAAUAUAAAAGAUAUUUAAUGAAAUUUCAAAUUUAUAAGAAUUACAUAUAUUUAAUCAAAAUUUCAAAGGAGAUGAAUAAAAUUAACUCAAUUAGAAAUCAAUUACUUAUAUCUAUUUACUUUAUUAUCUAAUUCAUUAAUCACCACUUAUGAAUAUAAUCAUCACUUAUAAUUACCAAAAUAUUAUGGUACUUAACUUCAUACCAAGGCCCAACAAAGUAAGGGGAACAUAAGUACCUAUAAUCCCUUAUGAAUUUCUAAUAGUAUAUAUUCUAGAGGUCCAAAAUUCCAACCAAAUUUAAUAGCAUUCAAUUUCCAUCUUAGAUUUUGGCAAGGCUUACAUCAAGAUUAAAACCAACAUCCAAUAUUUUUGAAUCAUGCAUUUUUUUAAAAAGAUUUAAGGCGUAUUUUUUAUCAUAAUUUUAGAAAGUAUUUCUAACAUUUUUAAUACUUAAAAAAUAAAAUUUUAUUUUCUAAAAUCACUAUCAAAUACACUUUUAAUUUAUGUUAUCACACAUAUCUCGGGUUAGGAUAGUAAUAAGCCCUGAUUUCAAAUUACCUCUUCGAGGGGCAUGGUUAUUUUUCAUUUUUCCAACUUUACCAUAUGACCAUACUAGUGUUUGAACCUCCUCUUCCACCAAAAAUUUAUUAGGGUAGUUGCCUUGUUCCUAUCGCUGCUUUAUAUUUUCGUCCUUUUAUGAUAGGUUUAACCUCCUCAAAAGUUUGUUCAAUCAUUUUCACAUGCUUCAAGCUAUCAAGCACUUGCGUUUUGUAUGGCAGCAGAAACAUGUUCACGUUUUGCAGGCAAAGUUCUUAAAACUUGCUUAUCAACAGUUUCUCUUCUUGAAUUGUGUGUCCACAACUUCAUAUUAACAAAAUCUCCAUAAAUUUUGAAGUUCUAUUGAAAUUAUUUUAUCACUUCUCAUGGGAUUCUUAAUUUUUAUAAUACUUGCUAUGCAACUUUAGCUUUCUAAUCCCCAAAAAAUUCUAGGAAGACUAACUUAAUUUGCUUAGCCUGUUGAAUAUAUAUACAAGUAUAAAGAGACAUAACAAGAGCAACUUUGCUUAUGCUUUGUUAAACAUAUAAUAAGCGUAAUAAAGAGAGACAAGAUUUUCUUGAGCAAGAAUCACAAGGCUUGCAAUGAAGAAGUCCAUCUUUUGACACUUGGUUUUCACAAGAUACCAAUGGGCCUUUGGUGUACACUUAAGGUGUCUCUCAACGACUCACGAUUACUUACUACUUACAGUUGGCCUAUAAUAAAUAUAUUUUCGAAAAGAGUAGAUAUAGAUUUAAUGAACAUUAGAUGAUAUUAAAAACUUGUGGAAUAAUAUUUCCAUGUGAUUAUCAAGUGUUAGGUACAUGAUAAAUAAGUUUUAAGAAGCCUGUUUUGGCAUUAAUCUUAUUAAUUUAAGAACUUAUUUGACAGUAAUUUUAAAAAAUAUUUUUUAACAUUUUUAACAAUUAAAUUUUUUUAAUAAUUCAAGUAUUAGAAAUGCUAAAAAUUAUUUUCUAAAUUUACUAUCAAAUGUGCUCUACAUUUGUUAUUAUGAUUAAGUACUAGUGGUUGUAAGUACAUAGUUAACUAUCCAUAUGUUAGUCCGAUCUACACUAAUUAAAGAGAAUCUAUAUGUUUUUUGAUUUGAAAGUUUAAAAUAAAAUAGAAAAUAAGAAUAAUUUAAUUAAAUUUUUAUUCACUUUCAAGAAAAAAAAAUAGUAUUUAUAUAUGUGAUUAAAAGGUAAUACUCUAAUAUUACUUUUGACUUAAAAAUGUAUUAAAUAAAAAAUAUUUUUAAUCGAAUGAUAUGAAUCGAGAUAUAGAAAAAUGAGUUCUCAUUCUACUUAUAUUUCUAAAUAAGACCAUGAAAACAUAUUUUUUCUAUCUUAAAUAGAAAAUAAGCGAAUUAUAAUUUUAAUAAACCAAUCUUUCUUUUAGGGUUCUAGGAUAUUUUGACGUAUGAUUAGGGAGAUAUUUUGUGUUUAAAUUAGGGGAGUUUAAACCAUGUUUUUAAAGUAAGGUUUUACUUUAAAAACAAAACAAAAAUCCCCCCCAAAAAAAAAUCAUGUUUGUCCAUCAAACAUUAUAUAUGAUUUUUAAUUUUUCUUUAAAAAACAUCUUUUAAAUUAUAAAUACUAUUAAAAAGACUCUAAAUUACGUGAGAUAUAGGCCAUUUGAAAGCGACAAGAAAAAAAAAACAAAAAACAAAAAACAAAAACCAAAUAAUAAUAAUGUUUGUCCAUAAAACAUUAUAUACGAUUUUUCGCCUUUUUAAGAAUAUUCUCUACAUUUUAUCAAAUGUUUAUUUAAUUUUUUUUAUAAAAAAUAUCUUUUAAAGUAGAUUUUCUUUUUUUUUUUAAAAAAAAAAAAACUAUUAAAAAGACUUUAAGUUGCAUCAGACGUUUAAAAUGAAGUUAGGUUGUUUGAAAGAGAAAAAUAAAACAAAAAAUCAAAAAGCAAAAGACAAAAAAUAAUAAUAAUAAUAAUGUUUGCCCAUAAAACAUUAUCUAUGAUUUUUCGAUUUUUUAAGAAUGUUCUUUACAUUUUAUCAAAUGUCUAAUUUUUAUUUUUUUAAAUUAGAAAUACUUUUAAAAAAAACACAGUUAAAAAUCUUCUAAAUUGUGUUAGACAUUUGAAACAAAGGCAGACAGUUUGAAAAAGACAAAGAAACAAAACAAAAACCGUGUUUGUGCAUAAAACAUUAUAUAUAAUUUUUCAAUUUUUUUAGAAUGUUCUCUACAUUUUAUCAAAUGUUUUUUUUUAAACAUCUUUUAAAUUAGAAAUACUUUAAAAAAAAAAAUACUAUUAAGAAGACUUUAAGUUGCUUUAGAAAUUUAAAAUGAAGAUAGGUUGUUUGAAAGAGAGAAAAAAAACAAAACAAAACAAAAAGCAAUAAUAAUAAUAAUAAUAAUAAUAAUAAUAAUGUUUGCCCAUAAAACAAUAUAUAUGAUUUUUCAAAUUUUUAAGAAUGUUUUCUACAUUUCGUCAAAUGUCUAAUUUUUUUUUUAUAAAAAAAACGUAUUUUAAAUUACAAAUACUUUAAAAAAAAUACUAUUAAAAAGAGUUUAAAUUGUGUUAGACAUUUGGAACAAAGGCACACCGGUUGAAAGAGACAACAAAACAAAACAUAAGACUAUGUUUGGUUCCCGGAAAGUACAAAGGAAAGAAAAAAAAUGCUAAGGAAAAUGAUUUUCUCAUGUUUGGUUGUCCUAUGAAAAAUAUCAAAGAAAAUCAAAUAUAAUUAAAACUAAUUAAAAACUUAUAUAUUUUUAAAUUAUUUAAUCUUUAUAUUGAUGAGUUAAAAUAAAUAAAAUGAGUUUGAAGUAACAAAAAAAAUAAUUUAUCAACUUUUAAUAUAUUUUUUUUAUUUUUCUUCACUUUUUCUUUCCUUCUACUUUUCCUUUGUAUUUUCUUUCCCUCGUAUUUUCCCUCAAAUUUUCCGGGAACCAAACAUAGCCUAAAGAAAACAAAAAUGAUGUUUGUCCAUAAAACAUUAUAUAUGAUUUUAAAAUCUUUUAAAAAUGUUCUCAACGUUUUAUCAAAUGUGUAUUUUCUUUUUUAAAAAACAUCUUUUAAAUUAGAAAUGCAUUUAAAAAAAAAAACUAUUAAAAAGACUUUAAGUUGCAUUGUACAUUUGAAAUGAAGGUAGGUUGUUUGAAAGAGAAAAAAACCAAGAAAGAAAAAAAAACCAAAAGAAAAAACAAAAAGCAAAAAAUAAAAAAAAAUAAAAUGUGUUUGUACAUAAAACAUUAUAUAUUAUUUUUCAAUUUUUAAGAAUGUUUUCUACAUUUGAUAAAAUGUCAACUUUUUUUUAAAUAUGUUUUAAAUUAUAAAUACUUUUAAAAAAAAUUAUUAAAAAGGCCCUAAGAAUGUGUUUAAAUAAUGUUUUUUGUGAAGUGUUUUUAAUAAAAAUAUAUUUUUUCAAGAACCAUUAUAAAUGGUUUUCCAACUUGUAAAAAGUGUUUUCUAAAUAUUUCAACUAAAACAUUUUUUUAAAACAUAGAAAAACGACCUCUCAAAAUUCCUUCGUAAUUAUUGGAAGAAGCCUAUAGGAUCCGAAAUUGUCCAUGUCGUCCUCCAUUUUGCUUGGGUUGCACAUGGUUUGCUCUGCAUCUUUUCUUAUGCAUUCCAAGCAUCCAUCGAUUGACCAUUAGAUGGGAAAUAAUUGAAGUCUAAAACUACCCGUCUUCCUUUUCCACCAUCCUCUCUCAAACCUGUCCUACCAUUCUCUUUCACAGUGGUGCUAACAGUUGAAAUCUCAACCUUAAAUCAUUAUAUAUUUUUUGAUGAUUGACUUCUCCCCCUUGUCCUUUUGCUUUCUGCACUAUUUAACAAUGAAGAGACUGAUCCUUAAACAGUUAAACCUCUCUCCCUCUCAGUCUAAGCAAUGGAGAGUGUUGUCUUGUAUCCAUCACCAGGGAUGGGUCACCUCAUCUCAAUGGUGGAGCUUGGAAAGCUUAUACUGAAACACCAUCCUUCAUUCUCCAUCACCAUAUUCAUUGUCACUCCACCUUACAACACUGGCUCUACUGCUCCUUAUCUCGCCCGCGUCUCCUCCACCAUUCCUUCCUUCACUUUCCACCACCUCCCCACCAUUUCUCUCCCUCUCGAUUCUUUUUCCUCUCCCAACCAUGAAACCCUUGCUUUCGAGCUCCUCCGCCUCAACAACCCUAACGUCCACCAGGCCCUUGUGUCCAUCUCCAACAAUUCCUCCGUCCGUGCCCUAAUCGUUGAUUCCUUCUGUACAACCGCGCUUUCUGUGGCUGCUCAACUCAACAUUCCAUGCUACUAUUUCUUCACUUCUGGCGCCUGCUGCCUCGCUUCCUACCUUUACCUCCCUUUCAUUCACCAGCAGACUACCAAAAGCUUUAAAGACCUCAACACCCAUCUGCAUAUUCCGGGUUUACCGCCGGUACCGGCCUCUGACAUGGCGAAACCGAUACUUGACAGAGAGGAUAAGGCUUAUGAGUUCUUCCUAAACAUGUUCAUACACUUGCCAAGAUCAGCUGGAAUCAUUGUGAACACCUUUGAAGCUCUGGAACCAAGAGCUGUCAAAACGAUUUUGGAUGGGCUCUGCGUCCUUGACGGUCCAACCUCACCAAUAUUCUGCAUAGGACCAUUAAUUGCAACUGAUGAUCGAUCCGGUGGCGGUGGAGGGGGAGGUGGCGGCAUUCCCGAGUGUUUGACAUGGCUCGAAUCUCAACCAAAACGCAGCGUUUUGUUUUUGUGUUUUGGGAGCUUGGGUUUGUUCUCAGAAGAACAGUUGAAGGAGAUAGCGGUUGGGUUAGAGAGGAGUGGGCAGAGGUUCUUGUGGGUAGUGCGGAGCCCACCCUCCAAGGACCCGAGCAGGCGUUUUUUAGCACCACCGGACCCAGAUUUGAAUUCCCUUCUCCCAGAUGGGUUUUUGGAUCGAACCAAGGAGAGGGGCCUAGUGGUGAAGUCGUGGGCGCCUCAGGUGGCCGUCUUGAAUCACGCCUCUGUUGGAGGGUUUGUGACUCACUGCGGGUGGAACUCAGUGCUUGAAGCUGUGUGCGCCGGCGUGCCAAUGGUGGCGUGGCCACUAUAUGCCGAGCAAAGGUUUAACAGGGUGGUGAUGGUGGAGGAACUGAAGCUAGCCUUGCCAAUGGAAGAGUCGGAAGAAGGUUUUAUUACUGCAACUGAGGUUGAGAAGCGAGGUAGAGAGUUGAUGGAGUCGGAGGAAGGGAACACCCUUCGUCUCCGGAUCAUGGCCAUGAAAAAAGCUGCUGAGACUGCAAUGAGCGACGGUGGAUCAUCCCGCAACGCAUUAACAAAACUGGUCGAGUCAUGGAGGCUAGGAUAGAGAGAGAAGGGUGCUCGUCUUAGCUUUCAAUUUUUUCCAAAUCUCGAUUAUUCCGUGCCACUUCAACCGUAUAUUAUCCUAAUCACACGCUACGGGGGAGAAAAUAAAGAAAGAGACAACAUUUUCAGCGUAGUUUGACAAUCAAAGAACUUGCAUUAACACUCCAUAAUCUACUUAUCAAAAUAAAUGAAAAGAGUUACGAUGGUGAAACUCUUGAAAAAAGACCUCUCAUUUACAUCACACUUUCCAAAAAAUAAAACCCUAAAUAUAAAAAGGUUAAAUAUAUAAUAUGAACAAACUUAUCAAUUAUCAUAUAAAAAAAUAAAAAUAAAAUAGUAAGACUACUCCUUUUAACCCUCGUAAGUUGAUCGGGCAGCUCGAUCCCCACGAGCUCAAUGGGGAAUUCUAUUCCCGUGAACAAAUUGGACAACUCAACCUCCGAUAUUCCAAGUAAAGUGCAAUAAUAUUGAUUUAAGCUUCACAAUCUAACAACAUAUAAUUCUUUUAUUAAUUAUCUCAUUUUUGUUACAAGUUUAUAUGAAUUUAAUUAUUCAAUACAAACACCUUAGGACCAUUUCUUGCGGUUGUCAAUGAUAAUCCAUAGAAAACUUAGAUAUCAUCCUCAUAAAAUCAUGGACAAAGAAGCAAAAAUAUCAUCUGUUAUUAGCAGAUAAAAGUCCAAGGAGAGCUACACAUGCUUGUAGUCUAUACGUUUUUCCAAUGGAUACACCCUUCAGUGUACACAUUUUUUUCUUGCGUGAAUAAAUGACAAUCCAGUCAUCACUUUCUUUUGAUCUAACAAUUCCAAAAUAUACAUAUAUGUUUCUAUCUUUUACAUGUCAUUUUCCUUUUACAUUCUAAAAGUUGUCCUCUAGAUUCUCGCUUGAAGUUGUUUUGGACUCUAUUGUAUGACUGUUACAGCCAAUAUCUAGAUAUUGGAUCUCUUGUGAUUCUUCUCUACUGUUCAUAUAAUUAAUACAAUUAGAAAUAUUAAUUCCCCCCUUUUCUAAUGUUGGGAUGGUAUUCAUUUUUCACACCAGUAUUAGAAUUGUCCCACCUUCAACAUUUGUUAAACAAAAAGGCUUCCUAUUUGUAUUAUCUUUAUUAAAAAAUGCUAGUGCAUGUAGCACUAACCCAAAUAAAGCUAAGGGGAUAAUGGUCAUUUCAUGGGUGGACCCAAAGAUCUAAGAUGUGAAUAAGUCUUUUAAAACUUGACAUAGUUAUUCAUGCAGGGCGGUUGCUCAUAACAUAUCAAAAUAGUAAGCAAAGAUUAUUAAAUCAACUUUCAAAAUGAAACAAGUCCCCAUGCAUGAGUAUUUAAAACAUUUUAUGAUUAGAUUUAAUUAAAAUAAGAUAAACUAACUAGUGGUAAAUAAUGAGGCGAAUUUUUCGAAUUUUUCCUAAUAUUCGCCUCUAAUUAGACGAGUUUAGAAGAAGCAUAAGUGGGUUAGGGGUGAGUUUGAUUUUUUUAAAAAAAAAAAAACUCAGAGGGUUGAACUAUUACUUUCUCCCUCCCCACCAUAUCCAAAUUACAUAUAUAGUUAUUAAAAUAAUUAAAUUAUUUUUUUCAUUUCCCUUUUUUUUAACACAUAAAAUUUACAAAUAAUUUUUUAUUAAAAUUAUAAAAAUUGUUUUUUAUUUAAUUUUUAAUAUAAUCAAAGUUUUUCAAAAAAUUGAAAUUUAAAGAUAAAAAAUAAUUAAAAAAAAUAAGGGAUAGGAAAUUUAUAUAUAUAUAUAAUAGAGAGGAGAAUAUCUUUUGUAUUUCGAAUAAGAAGAGAAUAACUAAAAAUAACAAAUAAAAAGAAUAUCAGAGAUAUUUAAUGAAAUUUCAAAUUGAUGAGAAUUAUAUGUAUUUAAUCAAAAUCUUAAGAGAGAUGAAUGAAAUUAACUGAAUUAGAAAUUAAUCAAUUACUUAUAUCUACUUUGCUAUCUAAUUCAUUAAUCAUCACUUACAAUUACCAAAAUACUAUGGUCCUUAAAUGCAGAAACUUCAGACCCAGGCCCAACAAGAUAAGGGGAGCAUCAGUACUUAUAAUCCCUUAAGAAUUUCUAAUCAUAUAUAUUCUAGAGAUCCAAAAUUUCAACCAAAUUUGAUAGCACCCGAUAUCCGUGUUAGAUUUUGACGAGCCUUUUGUCAAGAUUAAAACCAACGACCAAUAAUUUUGAAUCAUUAUUUCAUUUUUAUUGAUAUUAAUCAAUAAAAUUAAAGUGAACUUGUUAUCAAUAAGUUUAGUUUAGUUAUAUUGAUUGAUGUCGAUGAAUUAUUUUUAACUGAAUAAAAAAAGUCAAUUGUUUUGGUUUUGUCUAUUUAGUCAAAAAACAAAUACCACCUUAGAGUGUGUUUUUUAUAAUAAUUUUAAAAAAAAUUUUUAAUUUUUUCAAUACUUGAAAAUUUUUAUUUUUCAAAUAUUAGAAAAAAAAAAUACUUUGUAUCAUUAAUUUAUAUUAUUGGUAGGCUAAAAUAGGCUCAGUUUUCAAAUUACCUCUUCCAGGGCCAUGGUUAUUUUUCAUUUUUCCACCUUUACCGUAUGACCAUACUAGUGUUUGAAUUUUGAACCUCCACUUCAACCUAAAAUUUAUUAGGGUAGUUGCCUUGUUCUUUAUAUUUUCGUCCUUCUUUUAUGAUAGGUUUGACAGCCUCAAAAGCUUGUUCAAUCACUUUUCACAUGCUUCAAGCUAUUAACUAUUUACAUUUUGUAUGGCAGAAGAAACAUGUUCUUGUUUUUGCAGGCAAAGUCCUUAAAACUUGCUUAUCAACACCUUCUCUUCUUGAAUUGUGUGUCCACAACUCAUAUUAACAAAAUCUCCACAAAUUUUGAAGUUCUAUUGAAAUUAUUUUAUCACUUCUCUUGGGAUUCUUAAUUUUUAUAAUACUUCUUAUGCAACUUUAGCUUUCUAAUCCCCAAAAACUUCUAGGAAGAAUAACUUAAUUUGCUUAAGAGUUGUUUGGUUAAAUUUAAUGCUUAUUUGUUAAUGAUUUAAGUUAAAUUAUACUUAAAUUAUUGAUUAAAAACUUAUUGUUUAAUUAAUAUUAUUUGAUAAAAUUAAUUUAAAAUUAAUUUUAAAUUAUCAAAUUGACAUAUUUAUCAUCAUAAAUUAUAAUUAAGGUAAAGGAAGUCGAGUAACAAUAGAAGUUGUAAAGUAACAAAAGAGAUCGUUGAGGUAAUUAGAGUAAAUUAAAAUAAAAAUAAAUAAAAUAAAGAUAUGAAUUUAAAAAUAAGUUAAUUGUUUUUACUUAUUAUUUAAAGUUAUUUUUCACUUUAAAUCAUACUAUUAAAUUAUUUUACCAAAUAUACUUAAUUUACUUAAUAACUUAAAUUAAAUUAUUAUGUCACUUUAAGUUAUUAAAUUGGUUCACCAAACACCCCUAACCUUUCUUGAAUAUGUAUAGAAGUAUAAAGAGAUCUAACAAAAGUAACUUUGCUUAUUUUAUACUUUGUUAAACAUAUAAUAAGUUAAAUAAAGAGAGACAAGUUUUUCUUUAACAAGAAUCACUAAGUUUACAAUGAAAGAAGUCUAUCUUUUUGACACUUGGUUUUCACAAGAUACCAAUGGACCUUUGGUGUACACUUAAUGUUUCCAUGUGAUUUAAUGCACAUUAAAUGCUAUUAAAAACUUGUUGAAUAAUAUUUCCAUGUGAUUAUCAAGUGGUUGGUACAUGAUAGAUAAAUUUCAAGAAGUCUGUUUAGGCACUAAUCUUGUCAAUCUAAAUUUGCUAUUGCACUACAAGGAAAAUGUCAAAAGAUGACGCUUUUUAAGUGUCAAGAUAGAUAUAAGAUGACGCUUUUUAAAAGCGUCAUAUAUUAGACUGUCAUCUUUUUAAAUCACAUACGUUGACACUUUUAGAAGCGUCAUUUUCUUUGCACGUCAACCAUGACGCUCAUAGUAAGUGUCAUUAUUUGAAACAUUGACGCUUUAUAAGUGUCAUCAUAUGUUAAUAAUUUCAUUCAUGUCAAUAUUGACACUCAAUGAAGCGUCAUUGUAUAGGUAGAAGCAACAUUGACACUCAAUAUAAGUGUCAUCUUAUAACUUUUUAUUUGUAGGAGCAACUUUGACACUUAAUAAAGUGUCAUUGUAUAAGUAGAAGCAACAUUGACACUCAAUAUAAGUGUCAUCUUAUAGCUUUUUUUAUUUGUAGGAGCAACAUUGACACUCAUAAUAAGUGUCAUCGUAUAGCAUUUUAUACCUUGACACUAAAAAAAAAUGCCAUGUUUUUUUAACAUUAACCUUGACGCUUUUGAGAAGUGUCAUCUUCUGUUAUUCAAGUAAAGCAUGACGCUUUAAAAAAGCGUCAUCUUAUCUCAUAUAAAAUUUUAAUAGCCCAGAAAUUAAAAUGUCCUAAUUAUGCCCUGUUUUAUAAUUUUCUAUCAACAAUUAAAUUAAUAAUGAAAACUUAAUUUAAGAAUCUCCAUUGACAAAAAGUAUCAAAUAUGGUCUCCCUUUUUCACUAUUACAAUUUAUCCAUAAACAUCAUAUAUAAUCAACAACUAAAACCAACAAUUUUACAACUUCUUCUUCUCAACUUUAAAUUGUUCAUAACCUUCACUACAUCUAGUUUUACAUCAUUUUUCUUCCAAGUGCAAAAGGAUGGUUGUAACUCACUUUCUAGAUGCUCAAUCUGCAAAAUAAUUGAGAGGGUUACAUAUUUAUUAGUAUUAACAAAUAGUUAAGAAGCAACUUUGUAAAUGAAAUGUGUAUAUGCCAAUUUUUAAAUUUCCAAAAUAUCUUUCUUCCAUUGCAAUAAAUUUCAAAAUAUCAAAAGAACUCAACAAACUCCAAUAAUUUUAUUACACCAAAUUUCUAAAUAUUUUAGAACUCUUAUUCUAUUUUUUUUUUUUAAAAACAAAAAAAAAAAGUUUUUAUCUCAUUGACUAUUUUGGUAUGAUUUUUAUCUUAUUUAUGAAACUUCAACCAUUAACAUCUUCUCAUUCUUCUUAUAGGUUGUACAAGACAUUAGAUGUUUUGCAUGAGAAGGAACUAAGGAAUGAAAAAAAAAACAAAAAAAACUAGAAGUCCAAAAAAUUAUAAAAUUUUAAAUUAACAUAUUUAUGUAAAAUUAUAAAAUUGUGUUAAAAUAUCUAUGUUCUUCUUAUUGUAUUAGUAUAUCAACAUUUAAUAAUAUGAGGAUAUCUAUUAUCUAAAUAUGGAACUUGCAUGAAAUGAUCUCUAAACAUGGAAUUGAUUCAUAAAACUUACAAUAACCACAACAUGUUACCUCAAAAUUCUUUUGAUGAUAUAUUUUGAAUUGUUUGUAGGUGUCCUUCAUCAAGAGCAGUAGUGACGUUGUUAAUAGAAUGACCUAUGCCUUUUUGUACAACCUGAAGAAUAUAUAAUAAACAAUUUAACAACCAAUUAGUAAGAGGUGCUAUUUCCUUCCAUAGGCUUAUUUGUAAGAAGUCUUAAACUAACUUCCUAUUUUUGUAUGUAAAAGAAAAUGGAAGUACAAGAUAUUAUAGACUUUAAGCCCAUUAGUAUAGUAGGAGACCUUUAUAAAUUUAGAUUAAAGAAGUUUAUAAAGCUAGUAAUCUUAAAGACCAAAAAUGCUUUUGUAGAGAAUAGACAAAUUCCUAAUUCAUGCACAUGUAAUGAAACUAAAGGCUCUACGAAAAUGAGCUUGGACAUGCAGAAAUUUUUGUAGCUAUGCUAUUGUAGGAUUUCUCCAAAUCUAACUGAUAAUAAUUUGUAGAGGAAAUAUACAAAAGUUGUUACACCUACCAUGUCUACUUGGCUUCACCUCUCAAUAUGCCAACUAUACAUCAAUCAUAAUAGAGCAACCCCCAAAAUGAUCCAUAUUGAAAACACUGCCAACUAGGAGUACAAAGAUAUACAUUAACAAAUUAUCAUUGUGAAUAAAUCCAUUAUAAAAUUAACAUUAACAAAAUAUUGACUACAUCUUUAAAAGAAUAUGAAGUUGUAUUAGACUAUAAGUUAUAAGAGGUACUUUCAAACAUGAGUAAUGAUUAACUGAGUCACUAACAUAACCCAAUCUGAUCGAACUUCAUUAAUUUCCAUUUCACUAUAUGAUUUCUUCCCACAAAACUGAAUUGGAGUGACAUAUACAAUUCACUAAGUUCAAUUGACCAAAAAAAAAAAAAAUGCUAUAGUAAAAUGACCAACCAUAUGAAUUGAAUUGAGUGCAAACCUUUGAUGUUAGUUGGUUUGGAUUAGCAAUGAUUUCCUUCAUAUAUCUCAUCACGUAAUACCCACAUUCCACACUACCUGGUUGUCUUGGGCACUAUGGGAAAAGUAUCAACAAUUGCAAUAAACACUAGAAUGAUGUUCUUACUUCUUUAGCAUCUUAUUGAUGAUCAUAUUAAUAACCAUCCAUUUUCUAAUUUUUUCAUAAAUUAAGUGGUGAAGCAAUAUAUUUUAAUCUAAACAAAUAAGUACUUACAACCACUUUCACCCAAGUUGGCUCCCUCUUUGAUGUUUUCUGUUUUUCCGGUGGGUUGAUUCUCAUUACCCUACAAAAAGAAUUAAAAAGAUGUUAUUUAAACACUAUCAAUUGUAUUAAAAUAGGAGAAAAUAUAUACUUACAUGUUAACUAUGUCCUUAAGAUCAUCACAUGGUUGACAUGCCAUUGGAUCAAGGUAAUAUGCAAUCAUUUUCUUCAUCUCCAAUGCCACUAACACCCAAUGAAAACUAAAGAAAAGAAAUGAAAAUUGUAAUAUAGUAUCCACAAAUUCAAACAUCACAAACUAACUUACAAACACCAUAUUGAUAUUUAGGAUAAAAGGUUACUCUAGGUUGUAUGGAAUAAGCAUAUAUUCAGCAUGCUUUGUAUUCUUUAGUCGAUCUGCAAUAACCCUUGACCUGUUUUCCUUGCUUCCCUCUCCUAUUCCAGCUUUUGAGACCAAUGCUGGAUUGACAAAAACAUAUCGUUCGGCCUGCUUUGCAUCAAUCAACUUUCUAUGCAAAUGCCUGAUUAUAACCCAUAUGACAAGUUAUCAACAAUCAUUAUAGGUCAUUAGAAAAUAACCUUCUAUCUCAUAAUCUUGUAAAAAGUCAUUCAAAAAUUAUAAAAUCCCUUACCAGAUGUAGUAUAAAAUACAAUUGGAUGACACUUCUUUUGAUGAUAUUAUCAUUUCCAUAUCUUCUUUCAUCAUGAAGGUCUUGAAACUCUCACCAAAAACAUCCUCUGGGAAGUUUAUAGGGUAUGCUCUUGAUGUACUCAGCAUGAGGCCAACCAAUGUCUCAAAAUUUUUCAUAUCUUGUGGUUUUUCACCCUUGGAUUUGACUUCAACUUCAUUUACUUUUUGUUUCUUUGCUUUCUUAGAUGCCUGUACAAUUAAGAACCAUGGUACAAAUCAAAUUAACUAGUUAUAUAUAUAUAUAUAUAUAUAUAUAUAUAUAUAUAAAGUCACUAUAAAGUUUGGUAAUUAAAUUUACUUACUAAGAUGGGAGUACGGAUGAUGACCAAAUCAGUUGGCCACAAAACUUGGUAACCAAUUGCAGCCCCAACAGUAGUAGUUUGUCCAGGAAUAGGAAUGGGAAGGGGUGCACUUGAAUCAUAAGGAGCAUCAACAACUACUAAAUAGUUGGGACCACAUUCAAGUAUAAUUGUUCCACCUGCCACUAUAUUUUCCUUGGUGCCUAUGGCCAGCUCACAUUUUCUAACCUACAAAACUCAAUUCACAAUAAUCACUUCAAUAUUAGUGGGUUUAUACAAAACUAACAUAAAUGCAUUAUCAUCAUCAAUCACCUUAUAGCUCCUAUUACAAUGAUAAAUGCAAUUUCAUUUACAUUCAAUUGCAACAAACUUGCAUGAUAACAUUUCAGUCCAUUGCAUAUAACUCAACCCAUAAUUUAGACAUAUCCUAUUAUAUGUUGCCACAUCAAAGAAGACCAUAUAUGUUGCCACCAACAUUUGAAGUUAAUUCAAACAACAAAAUUAAAUUAAAUUAUUUCUCGUAUUAGAGGAAACUUUGUCAUCAAAUUAGCUUAAUUGAAUAAAUACCUUCUUCUGUGGUUCUAUUGCUUCUGGUGGGGUCACAUCUUCAACUUUACAGAUUGGCUUAUCCACUGCUUCUGGUAGGAGAAGUUGUUUUUGCUUCAUGUUUGAACUGCUAACAUCAGAUUGGGGAGUAACAACUCCUACUUGAGUCAGUUUUGCUAGCACUUCUGCCUGAAAUAUUCUUUGUUCUUCUUUAGAUGCUGCUAUGAAAUCCCUGACAGCACGAUCUGCAGCACUAUUGAAAUAUUGGCGAGGUGUGUAGUGCUUCCCUUUGGCCCUAACUCGACCACUAUACUCAGGAGUACCCAAUGCUUCCACAAGUAUAUCAUUACUUCCACUAACACUUCUACCAUUCUCUUGAGACUCUUUCAAUAGCUUGUCCUUAAAAAAUAUUAAUUAUAAAGUUAAAUUGCAAAUUUGUUAUUGUAAAUAACUUAUUAUAAAUAUAUGUAAUUAAAAUUGAAAAAUAUUCACUUACUAUUUUCUCAAUUACUGGUAUGGCCACUUCAUCAAAGGUGCCGUCCUUUUUUUCCCUUGCUUUCUUCCACAAUAUGCUUCGAUCAAUAGUUUUAAUUGAUCCACUUGCAACCAUCUUUCAAAAUAGGACAAUGUAUAAUAUAAUUAUCAUAUAACCCUAUUAUGUAUUAUGCAUAAAAUAAAUAAAAAACAAUUAAUAGGCUUACACUUACCAUCUCUUCCUUAAGACCGGCAUAUCCUUUCCUACUUAGAUGGUGAUUAUAAAUGUUUCUCUUUCUUCUUUCUUUUUGAAUUUCUCGAUAUUCCUAUAAAUUAAAAUUUUAUAAUUAAUGAAUGUGAAUAAGAGGUAUGUAAAGAGUCUUAAUUAUACCUUAAAGUUGUCAGACAAUCUAUCUUUGAAAAAUAUUGUCCAUCUUCAUCCUCAAUAAAAGUAUAUUGAAUUGGUGGUCUUUUGAGGAGCUCCGGUUGGUCUUCAAAAGGAAGAAUGUACUUCACUGUUAGCAAGUUCUUAAAGGACCGAAAGUAUUUUCCCAUUGUUAACAUACAAUUCCUCCUGCUUUUAUGAUUUAAUGAAAAAACAGUCUGCACAUUAAUACCAAACUUUAGUAAUUUCAAGAGGUUAAGAAUGAUAGACAUUUUGCAUCAAAGUGAUUUAAAUAAGAAAUGGUUACCUCAAUGCUGUCCCAUAACUUAUCCUUCAACUGUUUAGGUACAACAUGCCAAGUUUUAUAUCUUAUUGGCACCAUAGUGCGUGCUAACACGCCUAAGUAGCUUGUUAGAUGAACUGCUGAUUCUCCUAUGAAAAUGCCAUCAAGAUUGUACUUAACCGACAACUUAACCCCCUUGCUUCUGUUUUUUAUAAUCAUAUGCUUCCGUGUCAUCCCUCUGUACUUCCUUUUCAUGGGUUUUUCUCCUUCCUUUGUCUCCAUUCUUGUAACAAAAAAAAUAAAAAAUGAUAAAGAUUAGUUAAAAUUAUAUUGCAUAUAACCUAGUCAAAGAAUAAUUGUAAAACAUAACUUUUCAAAGAAACAAAUCCAUAAUCAUUGUACAAUGAAAUGCAAUAGAUCAUGAAUUCAAUAGAUCUUUUUAGAAUUGUUCAUCAUAUAACAAGGAUAACACUUCAUUUAAACUUUUUUUUGUCCCGCUUUGUUUAACAUUUCAUUUAUUUUAAGCAACCCAAGGGCCUUUGUAUAAGAAAGCUUAAUUUGCAGUAGGAAUUUCCUAUAAGAAUCAACAUGGAAGGAGCACGUGGUUUCAACAAGUUCAUCAAGUCCAUAAGAACUUAUGAAUGCUUUUGGACUAUCGGUUUGUGUUACAUUAAGUUUGGAAAACACAACAUGCAUAUUGAUAAUAAAAAAUUUCAUAAUUUUUUUACUCACAAACAUAACUAAUUUAGUAUCUUCCAUGCACAAUUUAGGGAAAAGGUUUUAGUAAAUAUGUUAUUGGGAGAUGUUAAAGAAUGAUCAAUAUUUUGUGCAAAAAAAUAAAGAAAGGAUAAAAAUUACCUAUUUUGUGGCUGUUGCAACCCAUUCCAUGGCCUUUAUUCAUACAUUAGCAUUAAAAUAUAGCUACAUAGAGGAUUUGUUCUCAAUCCAAAUCCCCUCACAAUCGCCUCGCAUACAUGUUGCAUCUGAGUCAUCCAUUACAUCAAACGCUUCAAUUUGUGGCAAUGCCCCUAUAAAGGGAUGGUGUUCAAUCGAAUUGUCAACAAAGUCUUCACCUCCUUCCAUAUCCAAGAAAUCUUUUUGAGGAGUUGACAAAACAACCGACCAUCUUGGAUCAAGUUGGUCUUGCACAUAAAAUACUUGCUUAGCUUGGGAUGCCAAAAUGAAAGGAUCUGAUUUAUGAGCAAUUUUGCUAAAGUCAACUAAUGUAAAGCCAAGAUCAUCAACUUUUAUGCCAUUUUUAUUAUCAACCCAAUCACACUUGAAAACCGGUAUCCUAAACAUGGUAUAAUCAAGGUCCCAGAUCUCGGUAAUAAUGCCAUAGAAACAAAGCUCACCAAACACUGGAUUUUGAUCCUUUGCACUUGCGAUUUGCAUUGUUGAAGCUACAAUACUAACUCCACUAUUUUGGGUAGUUCGUAAGUCAUCUCGUUCCUUGGUAUGGUAUCGACACCCAUUAAUGACAUAUCCAUGAUAUUUAGAGACAUAAUGGCUAGGACCAUGAGCUAUCCACUUAAGGGUUUCAGAUAUAGGUUCAUUAUUACCAAUUGCAGCUUCAAUCUGUAAUUAUAAAUAAUAGUUAUUAUGUAUGUUAAACAUUAGUAAAAAGAAUACUUCACAUUAUAACACCAUUCCAAUACCUUUUUUCUCAACCAAUAAGUAAAAGUCUGCAGGUGUUCAUCCUGGAGCCACUUUUGUCUUUUUGAUUGACGAGGAUUUUUCAAUUUCAACCAUUCCAUGUGCUCUCUAUGUAAUUAUUUAUAAGAAAUUCAAAGUUAAUGUCUUAAAGUUAUUUUAAGUAUCAGACACAAAUAUUAAGUGUUAGUGGUUCUUACUCAAUAUAAGGUUGAACAAUAGUUGUAUUCUCUAAAACAUAAUGAUGUGCAUGUAACCACAAAUUGGAAUCAAUUGUCACAACUUGACCUCCAGGUAUUGGUGCCCAACUUUUUGGUCAAUGUUUGCACUAAUAGGAAUCCCAAUCGCAUCUACAUUUGAUAAAUACUCUGUACAAAAUUCAAUAGCUUCCUCUGCAAUAUAGCAUUCAGCGAUACAACCUUCGGGCCGAUUACGGUUUCGUACAUACCCUUUCAAAACUUUCAUGAAUCUUUCAAAUGGGUACAUCCACCUUAGGUAAACUGGUCCACAAAGUCUCACCUCCCUUACAAGAUGUACAGUAAGAUGAAACAUGAUAUCAAAGAAAGAAGGUGGAAAGUACUUCUCAAGCAAGCAUAAUGUCACCACCAAAUCAUUUUGUAACUUAUCCAGUGCAGACACAUCAACCACUUUGCUACACAGAGCAUUGAAAAAAAAACUCAAUCUGCAAAUAGCAUGUCUUACAUGCUUUGGCAAAAGGGAUCGUAAUGACAUUGGCAAUAACUGUUGCAUUAAUGUAUGAUAGUCAUGCGAUUUAAGACCAUAAAGCUUCAAGUCUUCCAUUGACACAAGGUUUCUCAUGUUAGAGCAAUAACCUUCAGGAACCUUUAAUUGUGAUAAAGUUUGGCAAAAAACCUUUUUCUCCACUUUAGAUAACGUAUAACAUGCAGGUGGGAGAUAAGUUCGAUUUGAUUCAAACCUUGGCCCCAAUUCACACCUUAAGCCCAUCUCUAGCAAGUCUAGGCGAGAAUUAAGUCCAUCUUUCGUCUUACCUGGAAUGUUGAGUAAGGUACCAAUGAUGCUUUCACAAACAUUCUUCUCUAUGUGCAUUACAUCCAAGCUAUGACGAACAUGUAGGUACUUCCAAUGCUCAAGAUCAAAGAAUAUGGACUUCUUUUUCCAACAAUUUGUAGUAUUGACAUUCAACUUGCCUCGGGAGUUUUUAUUUUUUCCCCAUGAAUUAGAAAUGACACCAAUUUUCCUUAGGAUUUCUUCUCCACUCAAUGGUUGCGGAGGUGAGCUAAACUCUUGUUUACCAUUAAAUGUCUUCUUUUGUUUCCUAAAAGGAUGGUUGCAAGGAAGAAAUCUUCUAUGACCUGUAUAUGAGUUCUUUUUCCCAUGCUUCAAUCUGUGAGAGAAUGUAUCUUCCCCACAUAUGGGACAUGCAAAAUAUCCUUUAACUACACAACCAGAUAAGUUUCCAUAUGCAGGAAAAUCAUUGAUUGUCCAUAGUAGAACAGCUCUUAAUGUAAAGACCUCUUGCUGAUGCACAUCAUAACAUUCAACCCCUACAUCCCACAACAUUUUUAAGUCAUCCAAUAAUGGUGCCAAAUAAAUAUCAAUGUCAUUUCCAGGUUGUCGUGGACCUGAUAUUAAUAAAGAUAGCAUCAUAAACUUCCUUUUCAUGCACAACCAAGGAGGAAGGUUGUAAAUAACCAUUAUAAUAGGCCAACAACUAUGUUUACUGCUCAUUGAACUAUGAGGAUUUAUACCAGCUGCUGAAAUGGCAAGUCUAAGAUUUCUAGGUUCUGAAGCAAAAUCAGGCCAUCUGUGAUCAACUAGCUUCCAUGAUGGGGAGUCAGAUGGAUGACGCAUUUUACCAUCAAAUUCUCUUUCUUGAGCAUGCCAUAUGAGGUCUUUUGCAAUUUUUGGGGACUGAAACAAUCUUCUAAAUCUUGGAAUAGGAGGAAAAUACCACAUUACUUUUGCAGGGACUCCCUUCCUCUUUUUAGUACCUGUUCCAUCUAACUUCCACCUUGAAGUUCCACAAGUAGGACAAGAAGUUGCAUCCUUCAACCCAUUUCUAUACAAUAUGCAAUCAUUGGGACAUGCAUGUAUUUUCUCAUAUUCCAUUCCCAAUGUAUUCAAUGUUUUUUUUGCUUCAUACAUAGACAGAGGCAACUCAUUGUUUAGAGGCAACAUAUCUCCAAGAAUACUUAAAAGCUCUGAAAAGCUUUUAUCAGACCAUCCAUAUCGUGCUUUCAGGUUGUAUAAUUUGACCAAUGCAGAUAACUUUGUAAAGUUUCUACAACCAGGAUAUAAAGGUUUUUUAGCAUCUUCAAGUAAUGUUUCAAACAAUUUUGGGUCAUUCUUACGAUCAUCAUAUGCAACUUGAACCAUUUCUAUUGUACUAUCCACAUCGUUAAAUUCAACUGUAUGAUGCCAUUCUACCCUACUAGUUGGUGGUCCACUUGGAGCAGCGUCUCCAUGCCAAUACCAUGUAUGGUAACUCUGAUCAAUUCCAUAGAAGAAUAAAUGUUCUCUAAUUUUUUGAGGAGUGUGGAAUAUCAUAUUACCACACUGAAGGCAUGGACAUUUCAUGGAGUUUUUAUAUGUGGAAUAUUGUAAUGCAAAUGCGAUAAAGCUUUCUACCCCAUCUGCAUAAUCCUUUGAUCUCCUAUCCUUUGACAUCCAAGAACGAUCCAUUUGAUGUACAAGAGAUAAACACAACUCCUAGAUACCACCAACAACUAAAGUUAUUAAUAAAAUCCUAUUAAUAGGCUUAAAAUAUAUAAUCUACCAAAUUAAAAUUUCCCACAUUGUCACUAAACUUAGACCAAUCCAAAAAAGGACAAUGUGCAAGUCAUCUAACAAUAAGCAAUAUGACAAGAAACAUAAUUAGUAUAUUAGGUUAUUCAAUAUUGGCAUAAAAAAUGGAUCUUAGUUCAUUCAUGAUGUUUGCUUUAUUCAUGAAUAGGAAUGAAAAGCAAGAUCUAACUUUUAGUCUUCUCUUAUAUUAUUGAAUACACCAAGUUUGAAAAUUUUAAAACACAUAACCACAUGAGACAAUGAUACCAUGAACUAAAACAAUUAACGAAUGGAACUAAGAUUCGAAUGAAUAGAAGCAAGUGAUUUAUACAUGAUUUAGGCAUUCUAACAUCUCUAACAUCCUUAAUUAGGUGGUGGUUCCUAUCCCAUAUAGGAAUACAUAAUCCCUAUGUGUCAAUUGGCAAUAUACUUAAAUUCAUUUUAAAGAAAUUUCGGCAGCAUUUCCCUAUAGUUCUCCAAGUACACAAAAUGGAUAAGGCACAAUAUGUGACCUUGUCCAAAUAUGCACCUAGAGAACAAGAAGAAAGACUACCAAAUUUUCUCAAAAUUGAAUUAAGAACAAGCAAUUAACUUCAUAGAUAUCAUGUUUUCCUAUACUGUCCAGCUGGACAAUUCAAACAUCAUUUGCAGAGAAAAGAUUUUAUCACAUGGAAGACAAAUUUAGUAAUUGUCAACUUGAAACUGGCUUAAAUAUACCCACAUUUCACAUUUUGACAACUUAUUGUCUUAGUAUGUAAUAAGAGAAACUUCUGUCUCACAAUGAUACUUGAAUGGGAAUUCUAAGGUUUCAUGCAUGCAUAGUUGAUUAAAACUAAAACAUAAAUACUUAUUAAAAUAUUACAUCUAGUUAUGUAUUAUAAAUUAUUCAUAUCAAUUGAAAUGGUGAGAAUAGGAAAAUAUUGUUUGUAAGCAUCACAUUUUAGACCUAAGUUCACAAACUUUGCUAAAUCCAUUAAAGACCCACUACAUAAAGUUCAUGUUAAAAUUGGUUCAUCUCCAACCCCCAAAAUGAUUUAUCAAAGUUACUCAUUUUUUAGAGUCUUGAUUAAUUAGAUAAUCAAUAUAGAUACAUAUAAUUUGUAUUAAUAUAAUAUCAUGAUAUUUUUUUCAUUUUGUUUUUAGGCUUAGACUUGGGUAGAUUUCCCAAGUAAGGCUAAAGUAGAGCUAAGCCGCACCUUGACAUGUGUUCUACUUAUGUUGGGGGUGACCAUUCUAGUUUAUGGUCAUAAGUGGGGUGUCAAAUCUCAAUUAGUUUAUUGAAUAGAUGAACCAAACAUGACGUUAUUAUUAAUUAGAUAACAUGUUGUGUAACCCAUUUAAAAAUGAAGUUGAAUAACAUCUUUUGUAACAUAAGCAAUGAAGCCUAUGUCAGAUUGUGAAGCUUAAAUUAGUAGUAAAUGUUGCACUUCGCUCGGGAUGUCGGGGGUCGAGCUGCCCGGUCAGCUCGCGGGGGUUGAAGGGGGCAGCGCCCCCUGAAGAAAUUUUUUUUAUUUAAUUUGAAAGCCGUAUGAUUCUGCUCAUAGGCAGUAGUUAUUGAGUUCCAUGGCACUACAUCCCUUAAUAAAAAUUGUUGAAAAACUUUCUAUGCAUUCCAAGAGCCCAUAUCUCGAAAUGACAUUUCAUCAAACAAGUUAUAGGCAGUACCUACAACUCCAUGGAAAGCAAGCUCAUUUCGGCAUGAACCAUUGUACACAAAUGGAACAACACCAGAACCAUUUCCAAAUCUUCCAGAGAACAUAAGAACCAGAGAACAAAAACAGAGGAGAGACACAACUGAGCCUAAAAACAGAGGUAUAGUAUCUUUUUAUCGAAAAUGCAAACCAAGAAAAUAAUUGAUAAUAAAAAAAAACCACAACAAAUUUACAAGCAUUCACACUCAAAUCCCAGAAAUCAAUAGUGAAGAAUGUGAAUCAAUGGGAAAACGAGAACAUAUGGGCUCGUACCAGACAACUCUCUCUUCUGGGUUUUUUCUUCUCCCUUCUUUUCUUUCCUCUGUUCCUCUGGUUCUUCGACCUUUCCUCCUUGCUUACCUCUUCAACCGAAGGCACCUGCCUUUGCUGCCUCUUGCCUCUCCCAACCUACGAAUCUAAAAAAACCCUAGCUUUCUCUCAUAUCUCCAUUCAUUUCCUUUCUCUCAAUCCAGCACCCAAAUAGUCAAAUCGGUGGAACAUCCAUGAAUGCUAUCUUCUUGAUUUGGAGUAAGAACUUCAUUUUCUCAAUCGAAAUUGGUUGGAGCUUGCUGGUUCAAUUAGAGACAGAUUUGGUAAUGAAACUUGAGUGUGGGCAUCGGGUAUGGAAAAACCUUUAUAUUACAUUUAUCUCUUUUUUUUUAAUUGAAAAAUGUGAGUAAUUAUAAAAUGAACAGAAAAUGACGCUUUUAAAAGCGCCAAGGUUGAGGUUCUCCUACAAUGGCACUUAAAAAAGCGUCAUUAUUUGAAAUGCAUUAUACAAUGACGCUUCUAAAAGCGCCAAGGUUGAGGUUCUCCUACAAUGACACUUAAAAAAGCGUCAUUAUUUGAAAUUCAUUGUACAAUGACACUUAAAAAAGCGUCAUUAUUUAAAAACGUCAUUAUUUCUCCCAUUAAAGCGCCAAGAUAAUGCAAGCGUCAUUAAUACCCAUUUUUGAGAAUAAAUAAUGGCACUUUAUAUAAGCGUCAAGAAAAAAAGCGUCAUAAAUUACAUUUUUUGUAGUAGUGUUGGCAUUAAGUACUAUUGGUUAUUGCAGGCUCAACUAUCCAAUUGCUAGGCCGAGCUACUUUAAUUAAGGAGAAUAUAUAUAUGUGUUUUUAUUUGAAAGUUUGAAAUAAAAUAGAAAAUAAGAAUAGUUGAAAAAAUAAUAAAAUUUAUGGACUUUCAAGUAGAAAAUAGUCCUUAUAUAUAUCAUUAAAAGGUUCAUAAUACUCAAAUAUUACUUUUGACUUAAAAAUGCAUCAAAUAACAAUUUUUUUUAAUUGCAUAGUGUGAAUCCAAAUAUGAAAAAAUGAGAUCUCAUUUUACAUAUAUUUUAAAAUAAGACUAUGAAAACAUAUUUUUCCUAUAUUAAACGGAGAAAACAUUUCAAAAGGGUGAAACAAUGUACUCUAUAAACAAAUGAUAAUUUCAAUCAGCCAAUUUUUCUUCUUGGGUUCUAGGAUCUUUAAACGUAUGAUUAGUGAGAUAUUUUGUGUUUAAAUUAACGGGGUUUAAACCAUGUUUUUAAAGUAUGGUUUUACAUGAUUGGUAUAAGAACACUUUAACAACCAAGGUUUUGUUCCAAUAUAGAAGUGUAUUUUUUUCUAUAUCCAUCAAAUAAACAUCACCAAUCAAAUGGUGCCACAUAUACAUUUUUAGGUUUCGUUGUUUAUACUCUCAUCUCAUUUGUUUGUAUUUAUCAUUAUACCUUAGUUUCAUUAAUUUGUACUAUUUUUUAACCGUCUAGAUCAUAUCAUAUAUAUUCAUGGGUUUGAAGUUUGUUUGGUAUAUACGCAUUACCAUGUUACUUUAGCAUUUUCCUAACAACCAUGACCCUAAGACAUGUCUAUGCAAUCUGCUUGUAAGCUUACCAUGCAUUCAUACCUCCAAAAGCCAGAAACCACAAUUUGGUAAAGCUCUAACUUUAUCACUCAACUAACAUAAGGGUAGGUUGAGAUCAUCAUGCAACGUUGGUUAUUAUAUUGAAUUCAAAUUGUCAAUUACAACAACCCAUGUGCAUUAUCUUUACUGUCUGGAAGCCAAGAAUAAUUUGUGGCAGUGUCUCUCGGGAGAACCAGAAGCAGUGUCUGAGCGGUUCGUUUCCAGCAACUGAAAGUCCUGAUUACCCGGGUCUAUCAGCCCUCCCACGGAAUUGUAACAUGUUGACUGGUAGAUAUCUCUAUCUCUCUUCAGAUUAAAAGCAUCAAUAUAUGGAUAUGCUCUUAGACAUACAGAGUUGACCCAGCAGGAGAAAGUAGCCACAGAGUAGCUAAACCCUAAGAAUUUUGAAUGAUGAAGAACACCAUUGUUCUGUAUCCUUCUUCAGGUUUAAGCCACCUUGUUCCCAUGGUAGAGAUUGGCCGACUCCUGCUCGCUAACUACCCUUCCUUUUCCAUCACCAUCCUCAUUGCCACCCUACCUUCUGACACCGCCUCCACUGCCACAUACAUCGCUUCCAUUGCUGCCACCACCCCUUCCAUUUCCUUCUACCACCUCCCCACUGUUUCUUUUUCCAACCCGUCCGGUUUUCCAGCUCUAUUCUUUGAAUUUAUAACCCUUAACAACAAUAAUCUCCGUCAAACCCUAGAAUCCAUGUCCCAGACCUCAAGUAUUAAAGCCUUCAUCAUCGACUUCUUCUGCAAUACCUCUUUCGAAAUUUCGGCAAAUCUUAACAUCCCAACAUACUAUUUGUGUACUUCAGGGGCAAAUGGGCUUGCGAUGUUCCUUUACCUCCCAACGAUUGAUAGACACAUUACAAAAAGCUUGAAAGAUGAUCUCAACAUGCAUAUCCAUGUCCCGGGAACACCAUCCAUUGCAGCUUCUGACAUGCCCUUGGCGUUGCUUGAUCGCAGGACUGAAGUCUAUCAAUACUUCAUUGACACCGGAAAUCAGAUGGCUAGAUCAUCUGGAAUCAUCAUAAACACUUUUGAAUCGCUUGAACCAAGAGCUAUUAAAGCGAUAUCAGAGUGCUUCUGCGUUCCAGAUGCACCGACUCCUCCAAUUUUCUGCAUCGGGCCAUUGGUCUUGAAUUCGAAUCGAGCUGGUGGUGGCGGUGAUGAACAUGACUGCUUGGGCUGGCUCAAUAUGCAGCCAAGUCGAAGCGUCGUGUUUCUGAGUUUUGGUAGCAUGGGGUUGUUCUCAUCGGAGCAGUUGAAGGAAAUCGCAACUGGGCUAGAAAGAAGUGGAGUGAGGUUCUUGUGGGUGGUGCGGAUGGAGAAGCUCAAUGGAGAAACACCUCAGCCAAGCUUGGAUUCAUGCUUGCCAGAAGGGUUCUUGGAGAGAACGAAAGAUAGAGGUUAUCUGGUGAAGUCUUGGGCACCACAGGUGGCGGUGCUGAGUCAUGACUCGGUUGGCGGGUUUGUGACUCAUUGCGGGUGGAAUUCGAUUCUGGAAUCUGUGUGUGCUGGAGUGCCUAUGGUGGCAUGGCCUCUGUAUGCAGAGCAAAAGAUGAACAGGGUGAUCUUGGUGGAGGAAUUCAAGGUCGCUUUGCCGGUGAACCAGUUGGAAAACGAUUUUGUGACUGCGACUGAGUUGGAGAACCGAGUGACCGAGUUGAUGAAUUCCGACAAAGGAAAAGCGUUGAGAGACCGAGUUAUAGCCAUGAGAGAUGGUGCCAAGGCGGCCAUGAGAGAGGACGGAUCAUCUCGGCUUGCACUAGCCAAGUUGGUUGAGUUAAUUACACGAGCUCCACCGACUUGAAAAACUUUAACUCAGUUGUAAUUAAAUUUGUUAAUUACAAUUAUAUUUAAAACAAAUUACAACUUUACCAAAUUAUAUUUAAAUCUACUUUGGUUUGUGGGCCUGGCUGGCCUUAGUCGCUGAAAGCCUCCAGGAUGGACUGGGUCCAGCACUGCCUGCCUGACUGGUCUGGCCUGACCCAAGAAUAUGUUCGGCCCAUCCCACGAGCAGCCGCAAACACCUACCUAUUUGGGAAUAUUUUCCAAAAUGAUUUUUGAAAAAUAAUUUAUGAGAACAGUUGUUGAAAAUAUGUAUCAAUUAUUUUUAGGAAUAAAAUUUUAUUGAAAACACUCAAAUAUAAAAAACAGAUUUUUGACUUAUUUUUCAUAGAAGUAUUGAUUUGCUUCAAGAAUUGUUAGUUUUACAAGAGUAAUUAACUCAUUGCCAAGUUAUUUUUUGUGUUAAUCAUCACCUUUAAUCACCUAUUUAAAUCACUUGGGUUGUUUGGUAAUUUAAUAUAAUAUUUUUAGUGGUUUGAAAGGUAAAGAUGGCAACGGAUGCCAAUUUAAUAAUGCAAGAUAAUGGAAGAUUAGGAAAAUAGAAAACCUGAAAAAACAAACGUUUGUACCCAUUAGGGUAAGAGUAUCUAUUGACAAUAAUUUUAGAAAGUAUUUUUAGUUUUUUUUUAAUAUUUAAAAAUUUUUAUUUUUCAAUUAUAAAAAAUAUUAUAAAUAUUUUAUAAAAUCCUUAUCAAAUACACUCUAUGAUUACCACUUAAAGGGGAGCAUGCCCGGUGUGGCAUGCCCAUCACCAAUUUUCAAAGUCAAAGCUUAUUUGGGGGUUCAUUUCUAUUUUUCAAUGCAUUAUGCAUUGCAUCCCAUAGAAUGACCUUGUAAUUCUCUCCUAGUGAUUAAUCCCUUUGUUUUUACCAACCCAAAUUUUAUUUCUUUUCCCUUUCCUAUCUACAACCCGGUUCGUGAAAAAUUUGAGGAAAAAUAUAAAUAAAAGAAAAUACAAAGAAAAAGUAGAACGAAAGAAAAAAUGAAGAAAAAUAAAAAAUAGAUUAAAAAUCGAUAAAUUAUUUUUAUUUGUUACUUUAAACUUAUUUUACUUAUUUUAACUCAUCAAUAUAAAGAUUAAAUAAUUUAAAAUAUAUAAAUUUUUAAUUAAUUUUAAUUAUAUUUGAUAUUUUUUUAUAAGAAAACAAAAUAUGAGAAAAUAAUUUUUCUUUAUAUAUAUAUAUAUAUAUAUAUUUUUCUUAGUAUUUUUUGGUAACCAAACAUAUUAAAGUGAAUUCCUACUCUUCUUCCACAAUCAACUAACGGAAUCAAAUUAUGACUUGCAAGUAGCAACUCUUCACUUUGGGUGGACACUAUACAAUAUCCUAUUUCAAGCACAUUCUACAAAUUAAUAUAUGAUACAAAAACUUUUCAAAAUUCUCCAUAUUUUCAAUUGUUACUCCAGACCCAUUAUGAAAAACAGUCAAAAGUAACUUUUAAAAAAUUACUUGUUUUUAGAAUAAAUUCAUAAAAAAAAUAAAAAUAAAAAAUUUAUUUCUAUUUAAAAAUUUAUUUCUAAAUUAAACCAGUCUAGGCUUUAAGAAGUAAUUAAUGUAGCAUUGUUUCUACCCAGCUGCAGGAGAGUUGGAACCCCAAAGAGGUGACAAGCUAGCAACACACCAAAGGGCCAUUUUCUCAAAAGAGAGACAGCUCAUUUAUGCUAGUUUGGCCCAUUCCUACUCGACUUUUGGGGUUUUUUUUUAAUAACUUAUACGGCAAUUUUAAAAGUAAUUCUUUAAAAAUGGCAAUUAGAAAAAUAUUGAUAGAUAUACGACACUUUCGUAAAAUAAAAUAUGUUUUUUGAAGAGACAUCUUUCAUCAUUUUCAAAUAUCUAAUAUUCACUUAGAAAAAUUGAAUUUAAACUAAAAGUGUUUAUUUAAGAGACAUUUUUUAGAAUUCUAAAAAAUUGGAUUUAUACUAAAAGUAUAUUUUGAAAAGACACUUUCCACAAUUUUAUAAAAUUCAAUGUAUACUAAUUUUUUUGAAAAUGUGUCUCUUGAAUAAACAUAUUUCAUAAUUUCACAAAUUUUAAUUUAUACUACAAGUGUCUCUUGAAUUUGAUUUUAUAUUGAAAGAGACAUCUUCUACAAUUCAAAAAAAAAAAAAUGAAUUUAUAUUAAAGGUAUCUCUUUAAAAAAUAUUUUUUCAUAAUUCCACAAAUUCCAAUAUAUACUAAAGGUGUCUUAAAUUUUAAUUUUAUUUUUAAUUUUCACAUUCAACAAUUUUACAAAUUUUAAUUUUAUAUUAUAAGUGUUUCUUAGAUUUUAAUUUAUAUAAAAAGUAUCUUUUAAAGAAAUACCUUUAGUAUAUAUUAGAUUUUGUGGAAUUGUAGAAGGUGUUUUUUUAAGAGACACCUUUACUAUAAAUCAUUUUUUUUUUUUUUAAUUGUAGAAAGUAUUUACCUUCAAUAUAAAAUCAAAAUUAAGAGACAAUUGUAGUAUAAAUUAAAAUUUGUGAAAUUAUGAAAGGUGUAGAGACACCUUUGGUAUAUAUUGGAUUUUUUUUGAAUUGUGGAAAGUGUCCCUUCAAAAGACACCUUCUAUUAAAAUUAAAUUUAGGAGACACUUAUAGUAUAAAUUACAAUUUUUGAAAAUGUAGAAGAUUUCUCUUCAAGAGAUACCUUUUAUAUAAAAUUAAAUUUAGGAGACACUUGUAAUAUAAUUUAAAAUUGAUGAAAUUGUGAAAGGUAUAUCUUCAAAAAACACAUUUUAAGUAUAUAUUAGAUUUUGUGAAAUUAUAAAAAUUGUCUUUUCAAAAAGACAUCUUUUACUAUAAAUCAAAUAUUUUAGAAUUGUAAAAAGUGUUUCUUGAAAUACUUUUAGUUUAAAUUCAAUUCUUUUAAGUGUAUAUUGUAAAUUUAAAAAUUAUGAAAGAUAUCUUUUGAAGGGAUAUCUUUAAUAUAAAAUCAUAUUCAAGAGAUAUGAAAAUAGGUUGUAUGAAAAAAGUUAAAAUAUAAUUUUUUUUCCACCUCUCUCUUAUAUAUUCAAAAAGUUUUAUAUAUUCAAAAAGUGUCCGUAAAAUUGGAAUUAUUUUCCUAUUUACGGUAUUUUAUAAAAUAAUUUUUUAAAAGUCCGUACAUUUAUCAAAAACCCAACUUUUUGGGUAUGGCAUUGAAUAUGCCUUUCCUACAAAUAUUCUGUCUCAAACCUCUUAGCAGUGCCAAAGCUCUGUUACAUCAAACCCUAAUCUUUAACAUAAUUUUGUUUGUCAAAUUAUUGUCACUUUUUUGCCUGAUUUGAAUGGAGGGUAUACUUGUUCUCUCUGUGAAAGGGAAGUUGAUAUUUUGAGCGGCCAUGACUGAUUUUUCUUCCUUCCUUUGAUUUCUUCUUUACGUCCUUUUCAUUAUCUUCCGGAUGUGCGUAUAGAUGUUGAUAUGGCAUCCUUGAAAACAAACCAUCUCCACAAACUAUUCCCUUUCCACAACCAACCCCCUCUGCUCUCCGGCCCUCUCAGCAAUGGAGAGUGUAGUAGUAUUGUAUCCAUCGCCAGGGAUGGGUCACCUGGUCUCAAUGGUGGAGCUUGGAAAGCUUAUAUUGAAACACCAUCCUUCAUUCUCCAUCAUCAUCUUCAUCGUAACCCCACCUUACAACACUGGCUCUACCGCUCCUUACAUCGCCCGCGUCUCCUCUUCCACUCCUUCCAUCACCUUCCACCACCUCCCCACCAUCUCUCUCCCUCUCGAUUCUUUCUCCUCGCCCAACCAUGAAACCCUUACUUUCGAGCUCCUCCACCUCAACAACCAUAACGUCCACCAGGCCCUUGUGUCCAUCUCCAACAAUUCAACUGUCAGUGCCCUUAUCAUCGACUUCUUCUGCACUUCUGCUCUUUCCGUCGCUAAUGAACUCAGCAUCUCAUGCUAUUAUUUCUUCACCUCCGGUGCUAAUUGCCUGGCUUGCUUUGCUUAUUUGCACACUAUUCACCAGAAUACCUCCAAAAGCUUCAAAGAACUCAACACCCACAUUCAUAUCCCAGGUCUACCGCCGAUACCAGCCUCUGACAUGGCGAAACCAAUACUUGACAGAACAGAUAAGGCCUAUGAGUUCUUCCUAGACAUGUCCUUCCACUUGCCCAAAUCAGCUGGAAUCAUUGUGAACACAUUUGAAGUGCUGGAAGCCAGAGCCUUGAAAGCGAUCUCGGAUGGACUUUGUGACCCACAGAGUCCAACCCCACCGAUUUUCUGUAUUGGACCAUUGAUCGCAGCUGAUGAUCGUCUCGGCGGUGACAUGCCCGAGUGUCUGACAUGGCUCGACUCACAGCCGAAGCGCAGUGUCUUGUUCCUGUGUUUUGGUAGCCUAGGCGUAUUCUCAGCAGAACAGUUGAAGGAAAUAGCGAUUGGGUUGGAGAGGAGUGGGCAGAGGUUCUUGUGGGUGGUCCGCAGUCCACCAAAUGAGGACCAAAGCAAGCGCUUCUUAGCACCACCAGACCCAGAUUUGGAUUUGCUCCUCCCAGACGGGUUCUUGGAUCGAACCAAGGAGAGGGGCCUAGUGGUGAAGUCAUGGGCACCUCAAGUGGCAGUUUUGAAUCAUGAAUCAGUAGGCGGGUUUGUAACUCACUGUGGGUGGAACUCUUUGCUUGAAGCCUUAUGUGCGGGCGUACCAAUGGUAGCGUGGCCACUAUAUGCCGAGCAAAGAUUUAAUAGGGUCAUACUAGUUGAGGAGAUGAAGCUAGCGUUGCCAAUGGAAGAGUUGGAAGAUGGGUUUGUGAAGGCAAGCGAGAUUGAGAAGCGAGCUAGACAGCUGAUGGAAUCAGAGGAAGGAAAGUCGAUUAGGAAUCAGAUCAUGGUAAUGAAAGAAGCUGCUGAGGCUGCAAUGAGCGAUGGUGGAUCAUCUCGCGUUGCAUUAAUGAAAUUGGUCCAAUCGUGGAAUUGAAGACAAGAUGAUUCUUAUUCUUAUUUUAUCUCAUUUAUUUAUGCCCAUAGAUGUCAUCAUUCAUGUUCAACGGUUGGGAAUUUUUUUUUCUUUUCUUCCUGUCAAUCUUGGCAUUAGUAGAUCGAAGCUACGUGAAGGUCUCGCAGGAUCAUUAAUAGGCUGUCUGUCUCCAUACUUGUUUGGUCCUUACCCUUUUAGUCGUCUAUAGACUUUAUUGAGUUAUGUAUUGGAAAAUAUCGAUAAAAGAAAAUGUUUAUAAACGAAAAUUAAUUAAAACUUAAAAAAAAAUAGCAAAAAUAAUAAUAUAUUCAUUGAGUUAUUUUAAGAAAGAAAUUGAUAUAUUUAUGAUAAAUCUAUAAAAUUAAACAAUAAUAUAUUGAAUUUAAAAAUAUGAUAAUAUUAAAAUGAGAAUGUAUUUAGUGUUUUUUUAUUUAAAAAUGUUGAAAAUUUUAUUUAUAAAUUUAUAAUUUUUCUUGUUUUUAAUUAUUAUAUAAUGUACAUAAUAAUAUAAUUAAAAUUAACUUAUUUAUAAAUAAUUUACUUUAAUUAAUUUUCAAAAAUAAUUUUUUCUAGUUUAUAGCUAAACACUAGUGAUUGUCUUUAAAAAAAUAUAAAUGAAAGUACUACUACUAAAAAUGCUACCGGCAAAAGAGGUUUUUUUUUUUAACUUGUACGGCUAUUUUAAAAAUAAUUCUUAAAAAAUGGUACUUUUUAAAAAAAUUCUUAAAAUAUGAUAUUUACAAAAAUAUUUUUAAAUUGAAUUUAUGUUAAAUGUGUCUCUUCAAAAGACAUUUUCUCAUCAUUUUUUUUAUUAAUCAUACAUGAGAAAAAAAAUUGAAUUUAUACUAAAGAAAUAUUUUUUUUCACAAUACCAUAAAAUCAAAUUUAUACUAAAGGUGACUCUUAAAAAGACAUUUUUGAUAAUUUUUAUAUCAGUCGAUCACACAAUAAAAAAAAUUUGAAUUUACAUUAAAGACGCCUCUACAAUUCCACAAAAUUGAAUUUAUACUAAAUGUGUCUUUUGAAUAAACACUUUUCAUAAUUUUUAUAUUAGUCACUUAUCGAAAAAAUUAAAUUUAUACUAAAAGUGUCUUUUGAAGAAAAACAUUUCAAUAUAAAUUUAAGUUUAUGAAAUUAUGAAAGAUAUAUUUUAAAAAUACACUUUUAGUAUAAAUUCAAUUAUUUCAAUGGAUGACUGAUACAAGAAUUGUUAAAAGUGUUUUUUCAAGAGACACCUUUAUUAUAAAUUUAAUUUUGUGAAAUUAUAAAAAAUAUGUUUUAAGAGACAUCUUUAAUAUAAAUUCAAUUUCUUUACUAUGCAACUAAUAUGAAAAUCAUGAAAAUGUCUCUCUUGAAGAAACACAUUUAAUAUAAAUUUAAAUUUUUUUAACAUAUGUUAUUGAUAUAAGAAUUGUGGAGAAAAAAACAUCUUCAAUGUAAAUUCAAUUUUUUUGAACGUGUAUUAUUGAUAUAAAAAUGAUGGAAGGUGUCUUUUCAAGAGACACCUUUCAAAAGUGAUAAAAAGUACCGUAGAUUUGAAAAUACUUUUCAUUGUACUCUAUUUAAAAAAAUUAAUUUUAAAUUUAUAAUCCGGGCAAAAGUGCAUUUAUCAAAAUCACUUUCAACGGCUUCUUUCAGCUCACAUAAUGGGCGACUGACUAGUUUUGAAGUAGGGGGAAAGUCAUUGUGAAGGAAGCCCAAAGCCCAUUGGGUUUAAAAUUGGGCUUCAAAAAUCUAAAUCUGGGCUCAACUAAUUGGUUUCGUCCAUUCAAUAAAUGGGCUGAUCAAAACCAACAACAGAGGGUUAAGAACUUUCUUCAUCCAGACGAGCAACCAGCAACCUUUACUCCGAAAAAUAAAGAACUUAUUACUGCCUCCUUUUAUUCACAUUAAUGUAAGCUUUAUUAGCUUUCACACAAUCUUCAAAGUUAUUAAUCAUCACUUUAAAAUUAUUAACAGUGUUGAUAGCUUCUCAAGAUGACUCUCAAUACUAAUUAUUUUGAAAAAUUAUGGCACGACAUCUAAGAUAAUUGUAGAAAUUAAGGUAAAAAGGAGAUCAUGCAUGGUUGUUCAUGGAAGAAGCCAAAUGCAUCCUAUUUUAUUCAGAACAGGCCAAAUCAUGGGGUGUUAGUUAAAUUCUUAAUCCUGUGCCCUUCCCAAAGGAAGCUGAGGCAUCUAUGAUCAAGCCACAAUAAAAAAUUUAAGUAUUCUGAUCCCUCUGAAGUACAAUUUUUUUUUUUUUUUUUGGAUCCCCCAAAUAAAUUUCUGGUUUGAUCACUGGUUCUUAAUGGUGAGAACAUGCAUGGCUCUAUUGUAUGGGAAAAUUCAUAAGAUUUUGCAAGGUAAUAUCACAUCAAUAAAAAGAUUAGAGUUUUGACGUUUAUUAGAUUCUAGUUGAUACUCAUAGAGUAGGGACUCUUUUCUUCUAAUGAUUCAACAAUUUAAAGGAUCGGGUAGUAUAGAUUAAGGAAAGUCGUGAUACAAUUAUUUUAUGGAAGGUUUUGGGAAUUUUUCCAAGAAAAAAAAUGGAAAGUAGACAUGACACCAACCAGUUCACGUGUUGACAGAAGAGAAACCCGUGACCAUGCACUGAUUAGGUUGAAGGAAGCAAACAAAUGAAGCAAUAUUACGCUAUCCGACAUGCCUUAUGGAAAUGACUAGGAUACCUUGGAUUUUUCACCCCUUUGGAUCAAAGGAUAGAGACCCGUGAACUUCAGGUCAAUCCAAAAGCCUGGUUGGCCUCUCAUCUCCAUUAUCUUCAAUCUUAACUCGCCUUCCCAACCUUCAUAAAAUGAUUUCAAUGGUUUUGGAGGACCCAUGUGAGUGGUUUGAGGGUUUCUUGCCAUGCUCUCUUUCAAAUGUGGCCCAAUGGUAGGAUUUGACGUUUCAUUAUGUAGGUCUUCGAAUCAAAUUCAUUGAACAGUUUCUGUGAAAGUAACAAUUCAUAAGUAUUUAUACCAUGCUUUUGUUGUGAUGACACAUAGGCUUUUGUUACGUCCAAUAAACUUGUCUAAAAAAAAGUUAGUUUAGAAAUGAAACCAGUCUAUUGGUGGGAUGGGCAGAGUAGAGAGUGAAAACAAUGCAAACCCAUGAACAAAACUAGCUUUAUUCACGCUAUUUUCAAUUUAUUAUAUGAUAGACCAAAUGAAGCUUCAGAAUGCAACACAUGAGCUUGAGUUUUGACACCAAAAUGAAAAUGGAAACUUACAUUUAACUUUAAGACAAUGAGUAAAUAGAAAUCACAUGAUUUAGCCAUGGCUUCAAUUCUUUGAUCUUCGAACCCUCCUGAUCAAAACCAGAAAGCAAAGCACACGAUAGAAGAAAAAGAAUCCAAUCAACAUGUAGAUGUUGGUCCAUCUCUGCCUCUCAUGGAGCCCUUUCUUCUGCAGCACAUCACGCCCAGUCGCCAUACAUGUCUUGUUCUCUUCGUACCAUAACAAACACCUUGAAACAAGGCAUGAGUACUCAUUGAUGAGGAAGGCAUCCAAGGCAUAUUUGUACAUGGAGAAGAAGUGCAUGAACAGCCAGUACUUGGGCAUGCUGUCUUUUGAGAUGAAGUAGCCGGAGAAGAGAAAGAAAGCGCCCAGAAAUAUUGUGACUAGUGAUGUUCCGGCGAUGUAGUUUGGAGCUACCGAACUCAGGAAGAGAACAAAUGAAUUUGCCAUGAGGACUAUUACCCAUAUCACCAAAACAAAGUAGGCAAAAGCUUGCCAUGUAGCACAGAGACCCACUAAGAAGUAUACGGAGACUGAGUAAAUGAUGGCGAUGGCCAGCAAGUAUGGCAAGAAAACCAAUGUGUUUGCGAUGAGAUAUGACGAGAGCCUGUACACCCCACUUGAAGUUUCCCUGAGUAGAAUUGGCCUUUCAUUGAUGAAAAUUGGGAGAGUUUCGGUUGUUGAAGAGAGGAGGAAGGUGAGAGUGAAGGCAAAGAGGCCUAAUCGCUUCUCCAUUCCUUGCUUGUCGAAUCCAAUGUUGAUGUAAAUGGUUCCUAGAACAAGGCCCACACCAAGAGCUUCCAAUGCGUUCACGAGGAGAAGCUGUCUGGUUCUGUAAACGAUCUUCCAAAACCUGUUGUACAAAGCGAGUACUUCAUGGAGUCUUGAGCUCCUAUAUCUGAUCAUUGAUCCGCUAUGAUUAGAAGGAGAAAUUUCAGGAAUUUCUGGUGAUGGAGGAAGUGAUGGUGGUGUAAGGGGUUUAUGCUCAUGGAGUUGGCUCAGUAUUUCCAUAGCGUAUUCAAGGGAAUUGAGCUGCGAAGGAACAGUGAAGCCAUGGGAGAGUAAGAACGUUUCAAGUGAAGAAAGAGUUCCAUGGUGGAUAACAGUUCCUUUUGAGAGCAAAAGGACUUUAUCAAUGGUGGAAAGGAUCUUGAAACUAGGUUGAUGAAUGGACAAGAUCACAGUGCGGUGGCGUGAUUGCGCAAUCGACUGCAGGGUCUGCAUCACAUUGAAAGCCGAAUUGCUGUCAAGCCCAGAUGUUGGCUCAUCAAGAAGCAACACGGCAGGGUCAUGGAGAAGGCUGAGGCCUAUAGAGACUCGUCGACGCUCACCGCCAGAUAGCCCAUGGGCGAGCCUGGUAUGUGCUAGGUGAGUUAGCCUGAGCUCACUGAGAAGAGAGGCUACUAUGAUGGCAAUUUUGGAAGAUUUGGGAACAAGGAGGCUGGCUGCGAAGGCAAAAGUUUCAGAAACAGUAAGCUGGGGUAAGCAUGCAUCAUGUUGAGGUACAUAAGCUGAGAGCUUCCUGAAUGAAGAACGGUUGAGAGGGGAAGAAUUGAGAAGGAGAGAGCCACUUGUAGGCGAGGUUCGAGCAGCUAAAAUGUCGAGAAGGGUGGACUUCCCUGCUCCACUUGGGCCAACAAUAGCGAGAACUUGAGAUGGAUAAGCAGUCAGGCAGAUGUCCCGGAGAAUGUAGGUUGGUGGAGUUGUAGUGCAGGGUUGGAAGAGGAAGGUGGGGACAAUGGUGUAGUUAUUGGUGGUUGGUUUGGUGUAAGAGAUUGAAGAGGCUGUUAUUCUAUAAGUUUUGUGUGGUGGGGGUGGUAAUGAAGAGUGGUCUUCCAUGGAGGAGGUGGUGGAGAUGGGUGGAGGAAGAGAGGUUUUGGUUCAGAGAGAGAGGUGUUGAGGGAUAUGUUGGUGACAGUUUCCAUGAGUUUGAAGAGUAUAAUGCUGGUGGAGGAUAAGUAGUUUGAGAAUUAAAAAGUUUAGGUGCCCAAGCAGUUAUAUUAAAUUGGAGUUUUAUAAUACUGAUAUAACACCUAGCUAAAAAAAUUAACAAAUGCUACUGUAUUUUCAGCUAUGUUUUCAUCAGAAAAACACCAUGCAUUAAUGAAAUUAACCAAAGACUUGUGGAAAUAAAAAGAGUAGAAGAUUGAGUUUAGACUGAGCUCACAAAGUGGCAAAGAGAAGUACCUUUCAAGUUAUAAGGUUUAUUUCACUUUUUCACAAGUAGAAUCUGUAUUCUAGUCCAUUUUGAACUAUUUUGUGCUCCAUUAUGAGCCAAGCAGAUCUCCUCCUCCAUCACUACACGCCCCUAUAGAAUCAAAAUACCACUCCACAGAGAAAUGCUAUUUACUCUGAAUGACCAAAUCUUCAUCCUUGAACUUCACCAAGAGAACAACCCAUUCUCAACAGAAAUUCAUAUGCUUCUUUUCAUUGAUGUGUACGAUAUAAGUUCCACAAGUUUUGUUCAAUAAAGGGCAUGUGCUGAAGCCAUAUGCAGGCAUUAAAUAGGGUUCAUAUUCAGCAAACUCUAUGGACUUGUGAAAUAUAAGAUUGGGAUUCAUCUCAAAUAAACUCCAGCAUUUGGGUUUCGGUACCCUCAUUAAAUAUAUUAAAUUUGUGGCCCUGUUGGAUGAAUAAGAAGCACAAACUUGUAGAUCAUAUGUUUCUGCUGAUUGGAUGAACAUGGAAUUGACAGCAUGUGCAAUAUUCUCUUUUGAUUGAUGCUGGUAGGUUAAAGGUCAGUGUCCAAAAUGGAAAAGGCAGCUAAAUAUAUAUGACCAAAUCCAACAUCGCAGCUAACAUUAAUUCACCCAUGACUAUUGGCCAGAGCCAAUUGAAUGGAUCCUCUAUUUCGUUAGGGUGGUGAAUCUAAAUCUUGGGGAGUUUAGUAAGGGAGGAUCAUGUGAACCAGCAUAUAUUAAAUUUAAUUCAGCGAUGGUUGACAGAAAUAUGCUAGUGGGAAGUGAUUGGAUUGAUUGGAAUUUGUUAGGAAGAUGGAAAAAGAGGAGAAGAAUCCAAGCAAUUCACGAGUUCACUGUUGUCCAUUUCUCUCAUGUAUCUGUCUGUACGUUGAUAAAAGCAUUGGGGCCAGAAAGGCAGGCUAGCCACACUUGACGACGAACUUUGCAUUUAAUAGUAAGCCAUCCGUGAUUCUUCCCUCCAUACGUAUGGUACAGUACUAGUUGCAUCACACAUAGCACAGGAUAAUGAGCCUUGGAUCAGUAGAGAGUCAAUACCUACUUCGCUAUUGAAAUAGGUAUCAGCAACUACUACUGGAUUGACUCUCUCGCACAAGUAGGUAUCACUCACUCUCUCUCUCUCUCUCUCUCUCUCUCACAUACAUAUAUUUUCAAGCGACCCUUUUAUUAGGGUGGUUCCCAGUUGCCUUGGACCUACAAACUUACUUUUCAAAGACCAAAAUGGAUUAGUGAGGUGUAUUCGUUACUUCAUCAAUAUAUGCAUGAGGACAGUAUAUGGUCCAUAAAAUAAAAGCAUGCAUGCAUGCUGCUGUCUGACCCUGGCCGCAUUCAUAUACAUACAUCUGUUGUAAGUGUUGUGUUCUUUUGUACAUAUAUAUCUUGAAUGGAAAAUUAGAUGGUUCAUGAUUCAUGUAGUACUGCAGAUUUGAGAUCGUGGUUGUAUAACUUCCAAGUAAUGAAUAGCAUAAUUUAUAGAAUGUAACACAAAAAAGUUCAAAUCUGUGUAUUAGAGUAAAAGAGGCAGGCAUUGACAGUCUGAUUCAUUGAAGAUGGAAGUACAACUUAUGUUAUUGAUUAGGGAUGACAAUAGGGUGGGUAUGGGAUGGGCCACCCCUACCCCAUUUCCAUCCCAGUUAUAUAUUUUUUUUCUCAUCCCCAUCCCAAACCCGGGGCGGGGUGAGUUGGUGUCCCUCAUACCCAUUUACAAAAGAGCUGAUAAUCUCAUCCCCGUCCCAAAUGUGUUUCCUGGAAUUAUGAAACAUGGGUCUUUGGAAUUUCAAUAAAUGCUAUCUAGGUCUUCUCAUCCACAUUUAAUCAAGCAUUUGUUGUGUAACAAAAUUGCAAACUACACAUACGAGAACAAAAUGCACAAAUCUACAAAUAAACAACAAAAAAAAAUCUCAAAUCCAUCAACUAAAACCAGAAAAUAUGAAAAACAAGACAUUUCUAACAAAGCCUCAAAACUUAGGGUUUUCUUACCUAGAAAUGAGGAAUCCAUAGAAACCCUAAUAAUUUAUUAUCUAUGAAUUUUGUAUUCUAGUUUUUAGAGCAAAAAUUGUGCUUUUAGGGUGAAAUGAGAAGAAACAAUUUAGGAAGAAACGAGAAAACGAAAGCCCUCUUAUGAGCAAAAGAACCUUGAGCAAUUUAGGAAGAAAUGAGAAAACGGGAAGAAGUGAAAACGAAAGCCCUCUGACUCUCUUAUGAGCGAAAGAACCCUAAAACUUUAGGAAGAAAUGAUUAUAUAUGGAUGACUUUUUGAGUAUUUUGUAAUGACAUAAUGAUAAAUUGGUAAUUCACAUACGGGACGGUGCGGAAAUUGCAAAACCCAUCCCCGCCCUAAACCCAAUUCGGGUUUUUACAUAUUCCUAAAACCCGUUCUAUCCCCGAAUAGGAUAUUCCCAUACCCGUCCCAAUAGGGGCGGGGUGGGAUGGGUGACCUGAAUUACCUGUAGUACUAACUUUGCCCAUUUACACCUUUUUUUUAAAAAUAUUUUUAUAAGGAAAGUUUCUUACUUUAAAAUUGAGGUUGAUAAAAAGACAAAUACAACAUUGAUUUUUGGGAAGGAGAUUCUCUAUCAAUCCCCAUUUUUCCAUUAAUAGCAAUUUUCAUUUUUGUUCCUCAUUGAAAAAUUAUAAAAUAUUUGAAGUGUCUUAAUCUUUAACCUCAUGCCUAUCCCUCCUGAAAUCUAUCAUGAUCGUCAUUUGUGGAUUUAGCUAGGGCAAUACACUAACAGAUGGGCCAAACAUUGCUUCUUGGCUUGUAUUUGUCCCCUUGAAAUUAACCUCUAUCCUAUUGCCUCCUGCGUCUUAUUUGUAGCUCCACCCCUACUAGUCGUGAUCGUGUUCGCUUCCUCAUGAUAUAAUAUUUGCACAAAAUUUAAGGAGACUUUCCUAUCUGUGUGGCAUUACUAGAAGGGGUAAAAUUAUCAGAAUGUUUGAAGAUUUAAAAACAUGGCCGGGUUUCUUCUUAGGCCGAGGCUUUGGGCUUUCUUGGAAAACAAACUCACACAUAUGAACUAAGUGAAAAUUGGAAACGGCCCAGUACAUGUUGAAUCCAACCCAAGAAGUGAACCCAGCACAAGCCCAGAUACAGGCCCACAAGUAUCUCCGGGAAAGAGGUGCUGGGUUCAUUUGAACCAAGCUCAAAUUUUAAAUUAAUUUGCUUCCAUUUGUAUUACUACUACUGUUUAGAAUCAAAUUAUAAAGAACAUGGGCCAGUUUGAAAACGUUUUCCAGAGAAGUUUUCAAAAAAAUAGUUUUCGAAAAUAUUUUUUAAAAACAAUUCUCUAAUGUUUUCUGACAACUUUGAAUGUUCUCAACUUAUUUUUCGUAUCUUCAAACAUUUUUUAAAAAAAAAAACAAAGAACGAGCAAUUUUAUUCAUGUACCUAUGUUUCAUAUGAGAAACACCAUGUGAAGCAAGUAACUCAUAGAAUGCAUUGGAAGUAUACUCCCCACCUAAAAAAGAGAAGGCUAUUUUUGCAUUGUUCUAUUCAAGAUCUUAGGAUAGUGAGCCUACCAGUGACUCUUCUACUUACAGUAUCUACGUUCAUCCAUGGGAACCUUUGGGUAAGGUUUGUUCUAUUGUUGGAAGAUGACCUAGAAGGUAUUGUCAAAAUAGAUGUAUAAGAUGUGACAAGAAUUCCUUGUCCUAUUUGAGACUUAGGACAUAUCCCUUCAUCCAACGAUUCACUAAUCAUUGAAUCAAUAGAGGGAAGUAGGCUACAAUGCAAAAUUAUCCCAUGCAAUGCCUUAAAAUCACUAUGAAUGACCAUAAAAAAUUGAACUAAUCAUUAUUACUCUCUAUGGAUGAUAUAAGGCACAAAAGCUUGGAUCUCUACAGAUUCCAUGAGAGUCAAUUGAUCUUAAAGAUCAAUCAUAAUGAAAUAAAAUUCCUAAAUACUCAUAUUCUUCUAUCAAAGGGCCGGCUUGAAUAUUUGUCUAAUUGAUACUGUUUAGCAAAAUUAUAUUGCUUAUAUAACCAUUCCAAAUGCUCCAGAUCUCCUUUUCAAUUUCAUACUUUGUUAGUUAUAUACCUAUCAAAUUCUCAAUAGGGUUUGUUGAUCUACGUGAUGUUUUUCAUUUUCUUCAUUCUUAAGUUUGCAUAAAUUUUUAAUAAUAUAACAUCACAUCUUUUUGCCCUCCAAAAAAAUUUUCAUCACAUAAUUCCAAUACAAAUAAUUUUUUUCAUUCAAUUUCACACGAUAGAAGGAAAUCAUUUAUUUUGCCAAUCAUAAUGACUAGUCAACAAAUAACUACCAAAUAAAAGGAAACAUGUAAGAACUAAAGAAAACAAAUGCAAAAUCAAAUACCAAGAUUCAACAGGAAAAACAAUGUGAUCACCUAUGGCAAAUAUCUAUGAUUAGACACAAUGAAAAAAUCAAUUAUGAUGUGAUACCAUGUGAAAUUCAAAUAAUCAUAGGGGGAAAAGAGAAAAUAAAAUCUACAGUUUCAUAUUCUAACCACUUGAAAAUUAGGAAAAAUACAAUUAGAAUAUAAAUAGCUUUACAAUCAAAAGAAAUAAAAGACAAAAAAUGACUAAUUUAUCCUUACUUCUAAAAAAAAGAUAUUAACUCUAAGUAUAAGAAACAAAUAACUCUAAUAAAUAUUUCUAACAAUAUAUUCAUAAGGUCCAAUUUUUUAGAAAUAGAAAAUUUUAGAAAACUCUCCUUAUAACCUUUAAAAUAAUCCCCUCUUUUUAAAAUCCACUUCAGAAUACAACAAAAUUAAGGAAUGAUUCAAAAACACUAUAAUUGAUUUUUAGAUUACCUGAUAAAACUAUUAGGCAAAUCUAAGUACUUUGACAUCAUAUCGUGGAUUAUUAUAUUAGAGAUCUUAGAUCCCAUGAUUUUUUUUCUUCAUAAUUUGUGUCCGAGUUUUUCACAUAAAAUUGAUUGUCUUGUAUGUAAUCGUGAUUUUAUUGUUUAUUCAUAUUCUUAUACAUGAUUCAAUUGAUUUAAAAUGACUUAGAUCUCUCUCAUAAAUUAAAUUAGGUAAAGAACUUCUUCAAUUCACAAAUUAAAAUUCUUUAUUUUCACUCUUAUACCCCUUUGGGUGUUACCCUACUAAUACAAACAUUUUUCAAAAAUGUUAUUUGAUAUUUUCUCAAUUUUAUUAUUGCUCUAUAAAAAUAACUUCUACUUUAAUUAUUUUUAAAAUUUAUUUAUUUUUUCAUUUUUUUUAGACAGAGUACCAUAUAUAUUUAAAAACAAUUUUUAGUUUAAUAACAACCUGUUUGAUCUUCAUAUUUCUUGAGUUUUACUUCUCUAAUAACACAUUUGUUGGGAUAAUCCUCUUAAGCAACUUUUGAUUAAUGUGGGUGCAUGCCCCAUUAUUGGUUUGUUGAAAGCAAGAACUAUAAAGCUAUGAACUCACCCAAAUCUGGAAUAACAUCCCCAGUUUUAUUAAACUCUUACUGGUGGCUUAUAUAACCUUACAAGAUAAGGAAUUAGAAAAACAUUGCAACCUAGGUCUUAUACCUAAAGACAUGGUAUUAGUUACUGAAAUAGUCAAAACCUAUCUACUGGUUCCUAACUAAUAGGAACUUAUUAACAGAACUUUGACAAAGCCAAACCUUAACAAAAACAAAUAAAUCCCAACAAUAAUUCAUCCCCUAAAUUGAAGCAAUACGCAUUCAGUUUAAGUUUGGUACCUCACAUACCCCAAGUUUCUCACGCAAAUUCAAGAACACUUCAAGCUUCAGUGGCUUUGUCAGGAUAUCAACCACUUGAUCAUUGGUGCCACAAUGAACCAACUUCACCACUUCCUCCUUAGUGAGAUCCCUCAAGAAAUGGAACCUCACAUCUAUAUGCUUGCUCCUACCAUGCAUAACCAGAUUCUUAGAUAGCUUGAUCGUUGAAUUGUUGUCACUCAUAAUAGUAGUACACUUACUUUGUGAGUGCCUAAUCUUUUCUAACACUCUCCUCAUCCAUAUACAUUGACAAGCACAGAAAGCUGCUGCCACAAAUUUUGCUUCAGUGGUAGACAGAGUCACCACUGGUUGUUUUUUUUAGGCCCAAGAAACUACUCUACCACUCAAUAAAAACACAUAACCAGAUGUGUUUUUCCUAUCAUCAGUGUCUCCAGCAAAAUCGUUGUCAGUGUAAGCCAAUAGUUCUCCAAUAUCUUCUCAUCUCUUAUAAAACACACCCAACUCCACAGUUCCCUUUAAAUAACGAAGAACUCUCUUUGCUGCUUGCAUAUGUAGGCCAGUAGGAUUGGCCAUAUACCUGCUUAAGAGACAUACUACGUACAUUAAAUCAGGUCUUGUAGUAGUAAUGUACACGAGACUCCCAAUUAAUUGCUUAUAAACUAUAGCAUCAAUCCUAGCACCUUCUCCUUCCUCUAAUAGCUUGAAAUCGGGCACAAUAGUAUUCUUCACCGAAUUGGCAUUUUGUAAACCAAACUUCUCAAGUAAUUCACAAGCAUACUUCUUUUGACUUAAGUAGAUACCCUCUAAAGUUUGCAAAACCUCAACACCAAGGAAGUACUUCAUCUUCCCUAAAUCCAUCAUAUCAAACUCAUCCUUCAUGGAACUCUUGAAGCUUUCAAACAUGCAUGCAUCAUUCCCAGUAAAGAUUAAGUCAUCCACAUACAAACUCACAAUUAAGAACCUCUUACCUCCUUCUUCUAUUUUGACAAAGAGAGUGUGCUCGUAAUCACAUCGUUCAAAUCCCUCAUUGACAAAAUAAGCUUCAAUUUUGCUAUACCAAGCACGUGGUGCUUGCUUCAACCCAUAUAAUGUCUUCUUAAACUUGUAUACCUUUUCUUCUUCACCCUUUCGAAUAUAACCUAGUGGCUGCUCCACAUACACAUCUUCUUUCAAUUCACCAUGAAAAAACGCACUUUUGAUAUCUAAUUGAUACACACUCCAUCCAUUUUGUGCUGCUAGGGCUAGAACCAUCCGAAUUGUGUCCCACCUUGCUACUGGAGCAAAGACUUCAUUAUAAUCAAUUCCUUGUCGCUGAGCAUAACCUUUAGCUACCAACCGGGCUUUGCACUUAUCAACCUCACCCUUUUCAUUCAAUUUGGUCUUAAAGACCCACUUCACACCAAUCUUCUUGGCACCAUUAAGCAAAGUAGUAAGCUGCCAGGUUUUAUUCUUCUCAAUUGCUUCAAUUUCCAAGUCCAUGGCCCUUAUCCAUUUCACAUCUCUCUUAGCUUCUUCAAAAGAGCCCGGAUCUUCAUGAGAGAUAAACAUUGCAAGAUUAUUCACAUCUGCAUUUUCUGAUAGUCCUUCACCCGUUACAUAGUCCUGCAAGUAAGGAGGUGCUCUUCGAAUCCUUGUUUCAGCUUGAAUUGGUGCAACUUCAUUGGAUGAUUCAAUCGAUGUUGGAGUUGUUGCUUCUGCCUCUUGAUCUGUAACCAUUGCUUCAAUACCUUCCACGACUUCUUCUUCACUCUAAGAGAAAGCCUCUUCACCUUCAACACUAUUUUCCCAGACCAGUAUAUCAAGCUUCACUUUUUCAAUCGUCCUCCCCCAAUUCCAGUCUUUAUCCUCUUCGAAACUCACAUCUCUACUCACUAUAAUUCUUCUAAUAGCUAGAUCAAACAACCGAUAAGCUUUAGAUUCAUGACUUACUUCAAGUAAGACGCACUGAAGACUUUUAUCAUCCAACUUUCUUCUCUUCUAAUCUGGCACAUGUACAUGAGCUAGGCACCUAAAAACCCUAAAGUAGUCCACUUUGGGUUUGACUCCACUCCACAUCUCUUCUAGGGUCUUGUCUUUCAGUACUAAUGUUGGACUCCUGUUGAGAACAUGCACUGUCCAUCUUGCAACUUCUGGCCAGAAUGCUUUUGGCACUUGUUUGUCACAAAGCAUGCACCGAACCAUAUUCAUGAUAGUUCAAUUUUUGCGUUCAGCUACCCCAUUUUGUUGUGGGGUAUAAGAUGCUAUUAGCUGCCUGCUUAUACUAUUGAUUCUACAAAACUCAUUAAACUCAUUGGAAGUGAAUUCUCUUCUUCUAUCAAUGCGUAAACAGCAGAUAAGUGCACCCGACUCCUUCUAAACCAAGCUCUUAUAGUUUUUGAAAGUUGUAAUUGCUUCAGACUUUGCAACCAAAAAAUUUAUCCACACCUUUCUACUAAAAUCAUUGAUAAAGGUUAUAAUAUACCUUUUGUUACUGUUGGAUUCAGGAGUAAUAGGGCCGCAAAUAUCAGCAUGAACGAGCUGGAAUUUUCAGGAAGCUCUCCACUAACUCUUCUUUGGAAUAGCAUUUAUGUGUUGCUUUCCCACAAAGCAUUCAUUGCAAGCUAUAGUUGACGCUUCACUAUCUUUUUGUAUUGCAAAGUCCUCAACCCUUUGUAACUCAAAUGCCUAAACCUACGGUGCCACAACUUUGAAUUAUCUUCUAUGACUGUUUGUAGGCAUGUCGAGGUCUCAAGCACCACAUUAGCCAAUAAUACAAACAUUUGAUUUGUUGUCAUCUUUGUCUGCAUAAUCAAUCCUCUUCUAGGGUGGUAUAACUUGCAUUCCCCAUUUUAUAUAAUUAUAGCUAAACCCCUUUCUUGAAGUUGGCCUAUACUUAGCAAAUUAUUCUUCAAAGCAAGAACAUAGUAAACAUUAGUGACUACCUGAGUUGAGCCAUUAAUCUCGAGUCGAAUGUUGCCUUUGCCCAUCACUCCCAUCCUUGUAUUAUUGUUGAGCUUCACUGAGUGUCUGAAAGCCUUAUCAAUGUUAGAGAACCACUGCCUGUUCCCUCACAUGUGAUUGCUGCAACCCGAGUCGAGGAACCACACAUUUUCUCGUUUCAAGUUGUUGACUUCAACAUAAGACAUGAAAAGGAUCUCUACUUCUUCAUUGAACUCAGCAUAGUUUGCACUCUUCUCCCAACUAGGGCAUUCGUAUUGGAAGUGCCCUAGUUUGUGGCAUUUAAAACACUCCACUAUGGCCUUGUUUGUAAAGUAGCUUCUUCUGCCUUUCAUGCAGCCUCGAACAAAACUUCGACCUCUGCAUCUUCCUUCAUACCUUUCGUCAUACGAAACCUUUAAAGCUUGUUCAUCCCUUGCAUUUCCACUAUGACAAUUCAUUCUCUAUUCAUGAACCAAAAGGCUACUUUGAAGCUCGUCAAUGGUCAUCAUGUCCACAUUAUUGGACUCUUCUAUUGAGUAUACCACAUAGUCUAACUUGGGAGUCAUUGAUCUCAAGAUUUUCUCCACAAUCACAUUCUGCCCCAUUCUUUCUUCAUGUGUUUUCAUCUUGUUUGCAAUAGUCAAAGCUUUGGUAAAGUACUCAUCAACCUUCUCACCCUCUUUCAUCUGCAGGAUCUCAAACUCUUUUCUAAGGGCUUGUAGUUGAGCUCGGUUAACUCUGGUGGAGCCCUGAUACUUCUACCUCAUUGAAUCCCAUAUACUCUUUGCUAUGUUAUUGUCAAGAAUUGUCUUCAUAAUGGUCUUGUCAAUCGAUUGAAACAGGUAGUUCUUGAUCUUCUUAUCCUUUAGCCUCGCCUCUUCAACUUCCUUUCUUUGUGCUUGAGUAGGCGUUGAUCCUUUGGCUAUUGAAGGAAUUCCAUUCUCUACUAUGCUCUAGUACUCCUUUGAACGGAGAAAAUUCUCCAUUAACAUGGCCCAAUGGUCAUAAUAACCAUCAAACCUUGGAACUGUUGGUUGAGCAAAGUUUUCUGUCGCCAUGUUCACUCAUUCCACCUUCCUUUCUUCUCUAUUCUCUCUUCUCACACUCUAUAAGAAAUUUGCAGUUUCUUACUUUCUUCAAUCAGGCCCCUUAGCGGAGCUCUGAUACCAGAUUGUUGAAAGCAAGAACUAUAAAGCUAUGAACUCACAUAAAUCUGGAAUAACAUCCCCAGUUUUAUUGAACACUUACUGGUGGCUUAUAUAGGCUUACAAGAUAAGGAAUUAGAAAAACAUUAUAGCCCAUGUCUUAUACAUAAAGACAUGGUAUUAGUUACUGAAAGAGUCAAAACCUAUCUACUGGUUCCUAACUAAUAGGAACUUAUUAACAGAACUUUGACAAAGCCAAACCUUAACAGAAACAAAUAAAUCCCAACUAUAAUUCCUCCCCUAAACUGAAGCAGUAUGCAUUCAGUUUAAGUUUGAUACCUCACAUACCCCAAGCUUCUCACGCAACUUCAAGAACACUUCAAGCUUCAGUGACUUUGUCAGGAUAUCAACCACUUGAUCAUUGGUGCCACAAUGAACCAACUUCACCACUUCCUCCUUAGUGAGAUCCCUCAAGAAAUGGAACCUCACAUCUAUAUGCUUGCUCCUACCAUGCAUAACCAGAUUCUUGGAUAGCUUGAUCGUUGAACUGUUGUCACACAUAAUAGUAGUACACUGGUUUAUACCCUAAGAAUCACAUGAAAAUAUACUUUUCUUCUUUCAAAAGAAAAAAAUUAAAAAAUGCCAGUCAUGGGACUAAACUAAUGGCCCUUACUACGAUACUUCCGCAUUAUCCUAUUUAAAUCGAUGUUUGGGGAUCUUGGACAUUGUUAUCAUUCUUUCCUAGUUUUUUAUUCCUUUCUUUUCUCUUGUCCAUUCUUUCCCAGUUUUUUUAAUUCUUUUCUUCUCCUUUAUCCAUCUUAAAGCAAACUUAUUCCAAAAGAUUUGGUACAUGUAACAGCUAGAACAUUGUCACAUGCAUGAUGGAGGCCGUCCCUGCAAAUUAUACCAUUUGUCUUUAGUAUGACCUUGCAAGUAGCUGCUGGCAAUAUCCACAAAACAAAAUUAAAUAAAAAUAAAAAUAAAAAUAAAAAUAGAAACAACAACAAAAAGUAAAACAAAGCUGAUAGUUUUGUGGAGAGAGAGAGAGAGAGAUGAAAAACACUUUUUAUGUUAAUUAAAAUGGCUUUAAGAGAGAGAUAUGAAAAACACUUUUUAUGCAAAUUAAAAUGGCUUUAAUGUUGCUAAUAAAUCACAAGAGAGAUUUUAAAAUGCGUUUGGAAAAAUUCUUUUGAUCACUUAAAACCUUAAUAGGGACCAAUAUAUGUAAUGUUCUAUUAAGUCACAAGAGAGAUUUUAAAAGAUUUUAAAAUACGAUUGGAAAAAUUCUUUUGAUCGCUCAAAACCUUAACAGGGACCAAUAUAUGUAAUGUUCUUUUUUAAUUAUUUUUAUUUUCUAUUGGCUCAAAGUGCUCUGAGAUGGAGUCUUCCUUCACAUCAGGUAAAUGGAAGAUAAAAUCAUAGGACGUGGAAAAUGAACCCAUCGAAGAUACCAUUUCCAAUUUUCCUUGGUCAAAUUUGGAGGUCACUUUGGCCUUGGAAUCUUAGAAAUUUUUUACCAAACUGCUUCCUUCCCCAUAAAAAAAGUUCAGUCACUUAAAAAAAUAAAAUAAAAAACUAUAUUUUAUAUAAAAUCAGUUAAUUACUUGAACUAUACCACAUAGAAAAUGACGAUAAGGGUGUUAUGAAAUGACGUGCAUUCAUUAUCUGAUUCCACUAAUAUUGUGUAAUAAUUUUAUUUCGGCAUGAAGCAUCAAACGCUUUGGUCAUGGUGGAACCCACAAUGAGGUAGCCGCCUUACAAGACCAGUCACCCAAAACCCUAGUUGAAUAAUCAACAUGACCUUGCCAAUUACAUCACACUCAAAAGCUUUUUUUUUUCUUUUUAAUUAUCUUGAUAUUUUAUGAUAUAAUCUUAUAUGAUGAACUGUCCAAUAACAUGGAUUUGACUCCUUAGACUGUUAGACAUAAUCCUUCCCCCUUUAUCCAAAUCCAAACUUUAUUAUUUCUUUGAGAAAUUCUAAGAGUAAUAAGAAAGAACUAUAUAACGAAUUUUGAUGGUUACUUUAGGUAAUACAUAGCUUUGUUGUUUUGUAUCUUAUUAAAAAUAAGAACAAUUUUAAUAUUUUAAGGUUAGGAGGGCUUACCUAGAGAAAUUAAUUGAAAAAGAUGGUAUUGAAAUAGAAGCAAUAGACAAAAAUGAAACUGAUUGUUUUCUCCCCCAGAAGGGAAAGAAAAUUGGAUUACUUGAGCUUAGGGUUUGAGUUGGUGUCAUUAGUACUUGGUGGAGGUCAUUAAAAUUAUGAAGAUUUAACAAACCCAAGAAGAGAAACCAUGUUUACAAGGUCUACAGAGAAGAUGAAGAGAUGCUUAAAGAUCAAUGACAAAUCUUUUUCUUCCCUACUUCACGGGAAGCUUGUCUCCUUACAACUGAGAGAAUAUUUGAAACUUGAUGGACUCAUUUUCAAUAAAAAAAAAAAAACAAAAUGUUUUUUUUUUUUUUUCUGACUCAUAGCUUCUGAGUGAAAUAUUCUAAAGUGGGCCUUUGAAAAUUGAAACUCUCCACAAGUCUCUUUCCAUCUAGAAGAAAACCCAACCCCGCCUUCAACACUCUUGCGUGUUACAUCCUGGAAAUUGACUUGAUAGUCAAUUUGUCAAAUUGGAAUAAAGAGUUGAUGAUAAUAAUAAUAUAUAGGUAUUUUGCUUACUGGGUCGGCCACGGCUGACUAGAUCUACCCACAAUGCUUCUAUGGUGAUGACUCUUAUGGUUUGAUUGGUGAUGAUUUUCAUCGGUUGGUUGAAAGCAAAGGAAUCUUGGAUUUAGCUUUACUAGGUCAAGUGCUUGAUCAUAUGGCUUCUAGGAAGGAAUUAAUUAAUCCUGUGCAUAUCUUCUUAAAGGUCCUCUUUUAAAGUGUUUCGAUUGAUCAAGGUUUUUGUACUACGAAAAUUUUAAAAGAUUCUUAUAUUCAUAGUUUCAUUUACAUUUAUCAAUGAAAUAAUUAAAUUGGGAAAGGAAAAUAAGAAUUCUAUUAGGAUUUGAGUUAGGGUUAAUCCACUCAUAUUGCCUAAUUAGCUCAACAAAAUCAAACUUCUAGGUUGAUUGAUAGCUUAACUUACCUUGGAAUUUGAUUUGCAUGAAGUCAAGUACAGAAAAGAGGUUUUCACUUCUUUUUUUUUUUUCAAUAAACAAUAUGUGCUUACAGAAUUCAGUAGAUUGACGAUUGGCUCAACUCAAUGGAGACUCAAAAACCUGUCCAGUUCAAACGACCUUUAGAAGCUUCUGUCCCCAGCAGGCAGUUUACUUAUUUUUAAAUUCAUCCCUGUCAAUGAAUAAGUCUUUGUAGACCCCACUCCAUGAAUAAAUUUGUGUAUACAAGUAUAUAUAAAUCCACCACAUAGCUAGCCUGCAGAUCACACCAUCCAUCUCCUAUAAGGCUUCUCCUCUCCAUAUCCAAUCCAGAAAAGGAAGGAAAGUGAAAGAAAAUUAUUAGGGCACUAUGACAAGCGACACCGGAUCAGUGCGCCGGAAGAAGAGCCUGAAGUGUCUAGCAUAUGUUGCUGCUUUUGUGGUGUUCCAAACUGGCAUCAUAUUGCUCUUUGUUCUACUAGUCCUGAAGAUCAGAGAUCCUAAAGUCCGCAUCGCCUCCAUCUCUGUGGAGAAUCAGCAUUUCUCUACAAAUUCCUUUAGCAUGGACCUCAAGGCUCGAGUUACAGUCAAGAACACGAAUUUCGGUCACUUCAAAUUCGAUAAUAGUACUGCAACUAUAUCGUAUUUUGGCACUGCAGUAGGGGAGGCAACUAUUCUUAAGGCGAGGGCUAGAUCAAGAUCCACCAAAAGGUUUAACAUAACUGUGCCCAUAUCUUCAUCCAAGGUAAAUAACCAUCGACAAUUGCGUAGGGAUUUAAAUUCUGGGGUUUUGAAUCUGAGCAGCACUGCAAAGUUGAGUGGAAAGAUACAUCUGUUCAAGAUUUUCAAGAAGAAGAAAUCUGCAGAAAUGAGUUGUACCAUGGAGCUUCAUACUAACACAAGCUCCAUUGAGAACUUGAGCUGCAAGUGAAAAUUCUACCACGCUUAAUUCACUAGUGUUUUUCUGUCAUGGGGGAGAGGCCAUAUGUGAUGGAAAGAAACUAUAGAAUUUGUAUUUUGCAUAUUCUUUAUAGUUUGUGUAUGUAUUUUUAAGAUAUUGGAAUUUCCUUUCAAGGCAUUUUAAAAAGAACAAGAGCUCUGGUUUUACUUAGUUCUUUGCUUUAACUUUAGGUUUUCUGUGAUUCCCCAUGGAAGUUUAAUAGAUCUGAUCUUGAUCUUCAAGUUUUUCUGGGAUUCCUCAGCUGGGAAAAUUUGUGACUUUAUAAGUCAAUGGGUCAUGGAUUUCAGGGCUUGUGAAAUGAGAGUGGACGUUGGCAAGCUUGCCCUCAUAUUUUUUUUCCCCUUGUAUGGAGCCAUUUGGUCCUCCGACUUUCAUUGACCCAAAAUAAAUUAUUAUCAGGGCAUUUACUUUUUCUUCGCCACCAAACAAAGUCUUCCUUUGACUUGAUGAGUUUAUUUUUGUUUCCUUUAAUUUCUAGGCCUAUUAUCUUGUUCAAUUAUUCCGGCGCACUUCAAAAAUGUGGUUAGACCAUGCAUGAAAAUAUAUGAAUAUAGUGAAAAUUAAAAGAAAAAAAAAUGUGAUUGACAUGAAAAUAUUUUUUUCAACUUAGUGAUUGACAUGCACUAAAGUUCAAUACUUUCCAAUCCAGUGGCAGCUAUGUGGAUGUACACUCAAAUUUGUUUCAUCUGCAACCUUGAAGCCUGUCUAGGAUGAUUACAACUAUAGUACAAAUUUCUGUAUGAAACAUUUUGGGUUUUUCAAAAGCAGUGAUCUUGAAGCAAGUUGUGGGAGUUUGGUGAAUUGUUUGUGGUUCCACAGCACUAAAUGCAAGCAGUAAAAGUAGGGUAAAAACUUGAGGUUCACCACACAAUUUGGUAGGUCCAAAUUGUCUUUGAUUUUGAGUGUGAAUCCAGAAAGGAAGCAACCAGCCACACUGCCAUGCUAACAUUGGCCCUACCAUAGAAGGAGUCAUACCACCAAAAUGCAUUUGGCUUGCAAGUAGACCUUAUCACCCAUUUUAGACGUUUGAUUAGAGACGUGUUGGACUUUUUUCUGUCCUAUAUAUAUAUAUAUUUUUUUGGGAAAAAUUAAUAAUAAUUAUUAUUCGUCUUUAUUAAUAAUCAUUGUGGGACAACAUUUGCCCGUGUCUGCAUUUUGUAGCAUUUCAAAUUUGGGUUAAGAUUUGUGUGACUUAAUAUCCAAAAAUGCACCCAAAAACCAUUAUUCUAAAAAGUUCUAAGGUAUCUUUAAUUUUAGGAAAAUUUAAGGGAAAACAGAGAGGAAAACUAUAUAAAAGAGAAAAAAAAUAAAAAAUAGAUUUAAAAUUAAUAAAUUAUUUUUAUAUAUAUUUUUAAAUUUAUUUUAUUUAUUUAAUUUUAUUAUAAAUAACUUAAAAUGUAAAUUUUUUUAAAAAAAAAUUAACAUUUUUUUUCAUUCCUAAUACUUUCCGAUACCAAACAUAAGCUACGGGUUUUUUUGGGAAAAAAACACUUACACAAUUCAAAACAAAACCCGUUAAGUCUACAUAAAGAGUCUCCUCUGUAUUUGGAGAGCACACUACACACUUUUCGACAAAAUGCAUUUCCCCACAAUAAGAAGAAGACCUCUCUUUUUAAUUUUUAUAUUUUUACUUUUAUUUUUAUUUUUGGGCACGACAAAAAAUGUGGAUGUAGCAAACCCCUUUUCAUAAAGUUAGAAACUUUUUUGGCAAAACUCUUCAUCAGCAAAGAACAAUAAGAGGUAACUUUGUUUUUAAAAGCAAAAAAGAAUAUUUCUUUUGAAAAAGAAGAUCAAAAUAUAUAUGGUGAUUUUGGUUAUUCUUUCUUCUCUUAAAGUUGGCUCUCACCAUGCAAAUUUUAUUUUUCAAUUAAGAAUAUUUACCUUAUUUUUACUCCAUCUCUUUAAUAUGAAAUAAGAUCUUUGAUUGGAAUAUGGGAUCAUAGUUUCAUAUUCCAAUCAUGCUAUUUGUAAUUUUGUUACAUUUAUAUGUAUUCUAACACUAUUUAUAUAUUUUUUUAUUUUGAUAAUUAUUUUUGUUAAAUUAUCAAUUUUCUAUAUAAAAAAAAAACCCAUAUCUUUAGAGAAACUAACCUAAUUUGGAUUUAUAUUCAAUAAAUAAAUAAAAAAUGUAAAUUAUAGAGAAAGAAAGGAAAAAUACGUACAAAUUGCAAAGAAGGGGAUCAAACCCGAAACCUCCCCCUCAAAUCAAGUUAUGAUAUAUAAAAUAAUUAUAUCUCGAAUAUUUUCUCAUUUUACACAUGACACUGAAGGUGAUGAUGGGUGUCAAACAAGAACCCUCAUCUCUGACUACCCUUAUCAUUCAAACUAAUGAUAUGAUAUAUAAAACAAGGUUAAUGCCUAACUGCCCAUGUUAAUCUAAGUGCCCGAGUCCACUUCAAUUUGGUGGAGAAAAACUACUCCCAGUAGCGGUAUCCUACUCAUUUCACAUUUGGCAUCUUCAUAAUUGCACAUUAGCUUUUGUACUUUGACUUUUAUUGCUUAACAGGUGUUUUUAGGUUUUGGAAAUUCUGGUGUCCAAAACUUCUACAUGCAUUCAUGUUAAAAUAAAAAGAGGUAAAUUUAAUGCCCUAGUUGGUUUAAUACUUUUAUUGAAGAUGAACCUUGUUACUUGUAAGAUAAGACAGCUUGUUUGAAUAUUAUUAUUAUUGUUAUCAUACCCACUACUACCAUUACUAUCACUAUUAGACCUUGUCUCUCUCUCUUUUUUUUUUUCUUCUUUUUUUUUUCUUUGUUCCUUCACACAAGAGGUUAGUAAGGAUCCAGUUCAAGUUUAUGUACAAUCUAAAUGUAUAUCUAAUAUAUAGAUUUAGCCCCUUUGUGGAUUAGAACACUUUUAUCUAUUAGGGUUUAAAGAAUUAAUUUUUUUAGUGUAUUUUCUAUCUUAAUUUAGAAAAAAUUUAAAAAUAUGUUUAGAUUUUACUUUCUAUAUUUAUUUUCUCUGGAAAUUAUUAUAUAUUUUUUCAUAUUUAUAAUAUUUCUAUUCCUUUUAUAUCAUAGUUCCUAUAAAAAAAAUUUAUAUCAUCAUUUUCCUUUUUUGUUUUCAAUCUUUUAGAAAAUAAUUUUCAUUUUUUUUAAUAAAAAUUUUAUUAUUGGCAAGCGUUUCUAGCUAUUGUUCCCUUCCAAAGAGUAGGUUUUUACACGUUACUCACUCAUGUGCCACCGAAAACACUACUUCUCACUUGCAUGUGUUAAGCAUGUCGUCAGCAUUCAUCUUGAAUCAGGAUCGAACCUUCCAUGAGAUUUAUAGUUACAUUACUUAUAACUUCCUUAUUCCUAGGCAAAGUGGAUUUAGAAUUUUCAUUCAUUUCAAGACAUAACUUGUAACAUGUGUUUUACUUAUGGAUCUUUUUGAUAGGAUAAAUAUAAAUAAUGCACAACCAGAUUUUAUCCCCUCUUAUGAGAACCUAAUAGGAAUCAAUCAAAUAGAGUAGCAAGAAGACACCCAAUCAACAAGUAUAUGAAUACCAUUAGCGUGAAAAACCUUCUCUAAUAUGAGAAGUAAAAACCACAGGACCCUUAGGCCACUUAAAAACUCCACUAAUAUAAUUAAUGGGUUACACAAUUCUUUCUAAAUAAAACUAGAAGCAUACAUCAACCAUAUCUCAAGACAAAUUGAUCUUGGCAAUUUCAACAACUUUGCAUAAAAACAAUAGAGAGAUCUCACCAAACACACCACAAAACUAAAAUAUAACUUUUCAGAACUCCAAAUCCAAUCUCCACCGUUCAGAAUGAAGAUUAAUAAGUCAUGAACGUGCUCUCCAAAAAUCGGCCCAAUCGAACCACAGAUUAACCUUGAUCGGAGUUCAUGAUCAAAAUUGUCCGAAUAGAAAACGCAUCAAAACAAAGGCUCUGUUCUUGGACUGAAAGACGACCUUCUGGAUCUCCAAAUCCGAUCUUCACCGUUAGAAUGAAGAUCAAUGAUUCACGAACUUCUCCCCCAAAUUUUAAGUCGAUCGGCCCACAAACGAAGCGGGAUUGGACCUUUGAUGAAAUCUGGGCAGUGAAGAAUAAACUGAAUUUUUCUCUCUAACUUCAAAAAUGGUGGUUCUCCCCUGUCUCUCUCUUUUCUCCUACCUCCGGUGGCUGUGAAAAAUUGGAAGAAGAAGAAGAAAAAAAAAAACAUGAUUAUUUUUCUAGCCCUUUUAUAUAAAGGCCUAAGAGGCCUUAAAUUUUGAGCUCUUAAUUUGGGCCUUCCACAUGAGGAAAAACUCAACAUUUUUUUCAAUUUACACCCAUUAUCUCAAGUUUUAGAUUGAACUAAUCCAUUGACACAAAUAGUUCAUGGGAAAAAAAUCGAGUUAUUUGAGCCCCAGUGGAUUGACAGGACAAAUUAUCAAUUUUUUGAUAUAGGAUAUCCAUCCUAGUCACUAUGGACGCAUUUGUCCAAUCGACAUGUUUGAAGGAAUCAAUGUUGGACUUAUUGGAUCUUUAGCAAUUCACGCAAUGAUUGAUCAUUUUCACUUUCUUAAUUUUUUGAAAUUAGUUUUGCAAAAAAAGAAAAUAGAAUGUUUCUUGGAAAAUAAAAACAAGAUUUCUAUUUUUCAAAAACAUUUUUUACUUUUUGUUAAUUAAACACAUUUUUAAAAGAGGAAAGACAAAAAUGAAAGCUAUUUUCAAAAAUUAAAAAUUAAAAUUAAAAAAUGUUUUCCAAACUAAAUGCUACCUAACUUUUUUUUUAUUUACUUUAAUUAUUAAAUUGAUAAAGAUGUUAGAAAUCAGUUAACGAAGAUCAGACAUUUUUUUCUUUAAUUUUUAUUCAACUUCAUUUUGAAUGUUGUUAAAAGAUUGAUUUUGAUUGAAGUAAACCAUCACAAUUAUCAAACUAACUUGGUUGAUCGAAUUAACGUUGGAGACAACAUCCAUCAUAUCAUAAAUCCCACUACUUCCUGAAGUUGAUUUUUAUUGAAAGCAUGUUAAUCCUGAAAAAGAUGAUGGGCAGAGAACUUCAGCCGAGACAGAUUGGUUUGGACAAAAAGAGAAAGACGUCCAACAACUUUAAGAUACCAUGUCAACAUGAUCACAUGACACCUCCGGUCAAUAAAAUGCUCAAGAAGCUAAACAAUUAUGCAAGUAAAAGAGUGUAUAAUUGGCCCAUGAUACCCACAUACUAAAGAGGAGGGACAGGAUUAAUGAGUGGGAGGGCCAUCAUAUACUUCUCACGUAUAACAAGCUUCUCUAAAGUCAAUUUGCAAUCUUUGUUCAAACGCCCUUGUGAAGACUUUCUAGCAUCUAAUUUCCAUAUAUAUAUAUAUAUAUAUAUAUAUGGAAAUUAAAUAUCAUAAAUGCAAUGAAAGUUUUUUCUUGUCCCAACUGGUAUGCAGGUGCAAAAGAGUCUUGAUUUUGUUCCAUAACACUACAUAUGAUCAUGUUGCUUUAUUUGUUACAAUUUGGCAAACAAAUGACCAUCCUUCUUGGAUUACAUCACCAGUGGACAUAUUGGCCAUGUAUCAUUUGUAGGUAUUCAUCAAACAAGAGUAAGCCCAAUCAUUUCCUUGGAUUAAUUCAUAGAACCCAUGAAUAGUGGGAAAGAUUCAACAGCGGCACCAACCAAUGGUGGAGGUACCGACUGUAACGGGGUGCAACUACUUGGGCCGACCCGGGUCAUAAGCACAACUAUUGGGGCCGGCCCGGGCCAAGCACACCCAUUGUGAACCUGACAACAAUGCAAUCAUCCCCCUUGGGCGACCGUGCCAUUCUCGAAAUUGAACCGACAUUGAGCUUCCACCUCCACUAACCUUUGCCUUCUGGUUUUUGAGCCUUAAGCCAAUCUGCUCCCAUCAAGCUUCUUUUUGGUUAUAACUUGAUAGUCAGUGGGGAAUAAUCGAGAAUCGCCUCGAUUACACCUUCGUGCAGGUGCCCGAGAGUGCCGGCAAACUCAUCAGUCACCAACUCACAUUGUUGGAUUGGACCAGCAGGCGAAUUUAACUCCCAGCGUUACAAACUCCAACAAAUUGUCAUCCCAGAAAGGACUUCGAGGCUAUCAUGGUGCAUGUUGGGAUAUUUAGUUUAGUGCAUAGCAUGACAUACAUAAGGCUACCCACUACUGAUGCAUAAGAUUACACGAGCUCUCAGAAUUUAGCACCAGAUUCGUCUUCUAUAAGACAUAAAAUCCGGUUUCCUAUAAAAAUGAAUCUCGUCUACUAAUAAUUUUUUUUUUUUUUAUAUAAAAAAAGUCGAAUAUUUUUUUAUCGUCCAUCCUUCAUCAGGAAUCACAACAUACUUCUUAGUAGAAGGCAUGCCUUAGAGGAGAGGAAGCCUAGUUCGGCUAAGCGCAAAAUAUCAACUUCCCAUUCCACAAUGUGACAGUCCAUAGACGAUUCAAAUGAUUUCUUUAGCAUGUUUGAAUUCUCCGAUCACCCUGACUCUAUUGAGUCAGAGGAGGUUAAUUUCUAUGGUCAAAAUAUGUGAGCCCCUAUGAGAUUGGAAGAGGUUGUGCUAAUGGCCUGUUGUAUCAUCUUCAGUUCGUCAUCCCUUUCUGCAGCUGUUACAAUCCCUUCUGCAUAACAAAGCCCUGUUUCUAUAGAAUCUAAUGAUGAAGAUAAGGUUACUGGGGAAGCACUAGUCCAUCAGUCACCUUGGGCGCUCUCUUAUAUCCCAGAUAAAGAGAAAGUUCUUAGAGAGACUGUUGUUCCAAUGAAACUUCAAACAUCAGUAAGCUAAAGCCUCAGACUCAGCUUCUUUAUUAUUCUAUGUGAGACCUUCAUUCCCAGAUGAAUUAGGCCUUUGAGAUAGGCGGCCAAGCUGCUUUGGUGGAGAAGCUUAGAUCGUCCUAGGUAGAUGGAUGUGGAUGUUGAUGAAAUAAUCCAUUUAAGCUAGUUUCCACAAUGUCAUGAUCAAUUCCCUUUAAAUAUUCAACAAAAUAUUAAUUAAGGUUUUGAAAAGAAUCGACCGAUUCAGUCCAAUCUGACCAUCAAUAGACCGUUCAAGGGUCAGACCGGACAAACUGUUUGGUUUUCCAUGAACCGGUCAACCAUUGAUUUGACCAAAAGGUACUAGGCUAUUCCCUCUUCUAAGCCCACUAAGAACCUUGCAUCUCUACACAAUAUGGAAGAGAACCAAAGAUUUAUUUUGUAAAAUUCCGAUGUGGGAUUAGUUAAAAUAGAAAAGAAACUUUCAAAACAUGGACCUUUGGUUGACAAAACAAGGUAGGUCCGGUAAGCUAUACUUAGUAAGAUUAUAAAACAAAUAUUUAUAUAUUCAAUUUUCAAAAUGUUAUUAUAUUAAACAUUUAAAUAAAUAUUAUAUUUACGUUUAUUUUAAUAAUGAUUAUUAAUGAUAAAUAUGAAAAUAGUAUAAAUUAAUUAAUAUAAUAAUUUUUAAAAAUUUUAAAAUAACAAAAUAGAUAGAUAUAUGGAUAAAAAUUAAAUAUUAUAAUUUUUUUCAUCUUAAAUAUAUCAUCAUCAUCAUAGUUAAAUAUUAUACAUAUUUUAUUUAAUAAAAUGUAAUAUAUUAAUAAAUUUGUAUCUAUAUUUAUCAUUUAAUUUAACAUAUAUAUUAAAUAUAAAAAAUGAGACAUCAUUAAAAAUUUUAAUUUUAUAUAUAUAUAUUAUUUUUUUUUAAAUUAUUUUUAAUUUUAAUAAAAUAUAAAUUAUAUAUUUAUGAUAUCAGUAGUUCAACGACAAUUCAACCAUUUGUCCGACCAUUAAACUGUGAACUAGUAAUUUUUCUUAUUCAAUGAUCUAUCCGAUUUUUAAAACAAUGAUUAUUAUAAUAACCCAAAUCAAAUUCCAACCAUAUAAUCCCAUGAUUUCUUAACGCUAAUUAAAAUUUCAAAUACUUUUCCUUUUUUAACCCAAACCUAGCGUAUACUUAUGAAUUCUUAAAUUUAUUUUUAAUAUUCCAUCCACUGAUAUUUUUUUGUAAGGUCAGAAUGAAAAAAAUUAACCCAUUUUUCUUUGAUCACAUGUUUGCCAAUUGAGUCCAUCAAUUGUGACUACCUCUACUUUGACAGCUAGCUCCGUUUAACUAUAUCUAUGAACAAUUUUACAAAAAAAAAAAAUUAUAGCUCAUAAAUGGAGAAACUAAAGCUGUGACGCUGCGUUACAAACGGAGAACUAGGAAACAACAUGGCUGUACAAGUGGGGUGAAUAGAAUGCAAACACGAUGUCGUUUUACUAGUAACACGACAAAAACGACAGCGUUUGGGACUGCAAAAACUUCCAAGAGGUCAUUAUUGAAGACGAAGAAAGACAAAAAGGAGUUAGCUUUUUCAGAACAUAAAAAAGAAUCCUAUACGUUUUUCUAUGCCUCUGAAUUCUUCUGAUACCUCCUUUGAUAUGACCAGCCCACACCCUCCUUCCGCAGAGAAAAAACAAACAAGUUAUGUGCUUCCAAAUAACGUAGUGACUCGUGACAUGUCGUAGGAAAAACCCUUCUUCCUUAAUUCUAAGAAUAUAUUUAUCACUAAGUUGAUUAUUUAACGUGCAUGGAAAAGUUUAGAUUUAUUUCCAUAUCAAAGCAUACAACUAUAGGGCGUACGUAAGUAAAUAAAUUAAACCAAGUCCAAGAUUCAAGAAAUAUGAUUCAUUUUUUGCCUCCAUGACUUGAUCAGCUUGUCUAGUUCAGCUAGAGAUGACCCUCCAUCGCUCAUUGCAGCCUUGGCUUCGUCUUUCAUUGCAGUGAUGCGAUUUCUAAUUGAAAAUCCUUUCUCAGUCUCCAUCAACUCUAUGACUCGCUUCUCGAGCUCUGUUGACGUCACCAGUCCUGCGGCUGACGACUCCAUUGGUAACGCUAUCUUCAUUUCUUUGACCAUCAUAACUUUGUUAAGCCUUUGCUCCGCGUAGAGGGGCCACGCCACCAUGGGCACGCCGGAGGAGAUAGCUUCGAGCACCGAGUUCCACCCGCAGUGAGUCACGAACCCGCCGACCGAGCCAUGACUCAGCACUGCCACCUGUGGAGCCCAUGACUUCACCACUAGUCCCCUCUCCUUGGUUCUAUCUAAGAAUCCAUCUGGUAGUAGCGAAUCCAAAUCCGGGUCGGGUGGUGCUAAAAAGCGCUGACUCUGGUCCUUGGACGGUGGACUGCGCACCACCCAUAGGAACCUCCGCCCGCUCGUCUCUAGCCCCACUGCUAUUUCCUUCAACUGCUCUUCUGAAAAGAAACCCAUGCUGCCAAAACACAGAAACACUACGCUGCGUUUCGGCUGCGAGUCCAGCCACUUUAAACACUCUUUUCCAUCUCCCCCACCGUCUCCGCUUUGUGUGGCUAUCAACGGCCCUAUGCUGAACAGCUGUGGUGUAGGACGGUCUCUUACACAAAGCCCGUCUUUGAUAGCCUUCACAGCUUUUGAUUCCAAGGAUUCAAACGAAUUCACUAUGAUUCCAGCCGAUUUCGUGAUAUGGGUAGUGUGAUACACAAAAGAUUCAUAUGCUUUGCUGGUGCGGUCAAGCACCGGUGUUGGCAUAUCCUCCGAUGGUAUCGGCGGCAAGCCCGGGGCUUGAUGAAGGGUGUUCAUAUCCUUGAAACUCUGAGUGAUGUUCUGGUGAAGAGUAGGGAAGUAAAGGAACAAAGCGAGGCCGGAGCAGGAGGAAGUGAAGAAAUAGUAGACCGGAACGUUAAGCUCUCCGGCGACGUCCAGAGCUGGGGUGCAGAACAUGUCGAUGACGAGAGCGAGGACGGUGGAGGUGUUAGAGAUGGAUUGGAGGGCUUGGUGGACAUUAGGGUUGCUGAGGGUUAAGAGAUCAAAUAUUAGGGCCUCAAAAGAGGGGUAGGAGGAGAGGUGUUGAGGAAGAGUUGGGAUGGGGAGGUGGCGGAAGGUGAUGGAGGGGGUGGUAGAAGAGACAGCGGAGAUGUAAGGGGCGGUGGCGCCAGUGUUAAAAGGUGGGUCGAGGAAGAAGAUGACGAUGGAGAGUGAAGGGUGGUGUCUGAGGAUGAGCUUCCCAAGCUCAACCAUGGCGAUAAGGUGUCCAAUCCCCGGUGAUGGGUACAACACUACACUCUCCAUUUUCCGACAAUCCAAACAGACUCUGAGUUUUCUCACACUUCUCAGUUUACCCUCUCCUCGGUUUAUAUGGCCAAGAAAAUAACAGCAAAGCUCCCUUUAACAUCCCUUUCAUUGAAAUUGAAUAAGCUAUGAAACCAUUGAAUUUUCUUUAUUUCAAUGGAGCUUGCCUAUCUAUCCAAUUCAUAAGAGAAAGAAAAUAGACAAAUAAGAAAAUUAAAAUUUAAGAAUAUUUUUAACACAUAUCUUUCGUCAUAUUCAUCUUUAAUUUUGAAAACUUCUUACAAGAAGAUAUUUUCUGUCGAGUAGGGAUUUCUGACACACAAUAAUACUGCCAUAUGAAUGCGGGAAUUCAGCAACAUAACUUUAGCAUAAUCAUUGGUACUAUGCUUCCGUUUCCCCUUUUAAUGGAAAAAACUUCCUUUUUCCUUAAUUGAACGAGGGAUUGGAAGUCAAGGGAGCAGGGAGAGUGAAAAGACCAGCGCAGCGUGAUCCAAACGUAUUGGAUCAUGAACCUUGUUUCAAUUUUGUUGCGUGUAUUAUUUAUACUUUCCCUUUUUUUUUAUUAUUAGUGGAUUUUUUCAGUAUAGGUAUACUUCGUGGUUUGAUCAUUCAACCAUGUUAAAAAUCUCGUUUGUUUUUAUAUUUUCUCUUUGAGGGUGUGCAUGGUUUGAUUGACAAAAGUUGGGAUAAAUUUUCGUGGAAUUGUAUAUCAUUGUGUUAUUCUUCUUUAUAUUGGUGAAAAUAUUUAGAGAUUUGUUUGGAAGAUGAUUCUGAUGUUUUAUAUAUUUGGAAUUAAAGUAUAUAUAUUUUUUAUAAAAAGUAUAAGAACAAAGUUCUAAAAUUACUUACAGUUUUUACUUUUUAAAAAAAAAAAUAAAGAAUAACUUUUAUAUAAAAUAUUAUAGUAUUUCUUGUAUACAAAGUGUUGAUUUAUCUUAUUUGCUUAAAAAAAGUUUUAAAAAAUUUUAAAUAUGAGAUAAAUCUUAAAAAGUUAUUAUAUUUUAAAAUUAAUUAGUUAAAAGAUAUGAAAAAAAAUUUGUAUUUGUAAAUUUAUCCUUUUUUAUAUUUUUAUUUCAAGAGCAAACCAUUUUUAAAAAGUUACUUUUACAAGAAAACAAUUCUUCAUAGAAACAUUUAUUAUAUAUAAAAAUGUUAGUGAUGAAAAGGUUACAAAUUAAAAACAGUUUUACUAUAUUAAUCACUUCCAAAUUAACUAACCUUAUUACCAUAUAUCUUGUUGGAAAAAACUUUUUAUAAAGGUUUAAAGAAUAUGGUUUUAAGGUGAAACGAGUUUUUAUUUCAAGAUACAUAUAUCGAGUACGUUUGACACUAAUUUUAAGAAUUGUUUCUAAUUUUUCUAAUAUUUGAAUAAUAAAAAAUUUUAAAUAUUAGAAAAGGUAAAAAUACUUCUUCAAAUCAUUAUCAUACACACUCUUAGAGUCUAUUUAAUAGUGAUUUUAGAAAGUAUUUUUAAUCUAAAAAAUCGUUUUUGAAAAAAAAAAAGUGUUUGAUAAAGUUUAGGAAAUACUUUUAAAAAUCUGAAAAAUCUCUUAUAGUGUUUUUUCUAAAAAAAAUAUUUGAAGUGUGUUUGGUAGUGAUUUUGCGAAGUAUUUUUAACAUUUUUAAUACUUAAAAAAUAAAUAUUUUGAAGUGUUAGAAAAACUAAAAACACUUCUUAAAAUCAUUGUCAAAUACACUCUUAAAGUGUGUUUGACAGUGUUUUCAUUCGAAGUACUUUUAUAGCUUAUUUGGUAGUGAUUUAGAAAACGUUUUCAAUACUUGAAAAUUUAUAUCAUUCAGGUGUAAAAAAAAAAAAUACUACAAAUGCAUUUUAAAAUCACUCCAAAACACAUUUUAUAUAAGUAAUUUUCCUAAAAAUACUUUCAAAUAAGAGUAUAUUUGAUAGUAAUUCAAAAAAGUGUUUCUAAUAUUUCUAAUACUUGAGAAAUAAAAAUUUUAAGUAUUAGAAAUAAUAAAAACACUUUCUAAAUUCACUAAUUAAAAAACACUUUUAUUAAAAACACUUCAAAUAAAAUCCUACUAGACCGCAAAGUUAGGCAUAUAUGACUAUUAAAUAGAUCCAAAAAGGCAAAAUGACUUCUAAUUUUGCUGAAAUGUCUUGUACAAAGGAGACUAUAAUUCUCCUAUACAGAAUCAACUUCACAAUAAAAAGGAGCUACACAAUAAUUUGAAAAGAUAUAGUCUAUCCAGAAGCUAUUUUUUUAGUUAAAGAAAAUGUUAUUUCAUUGUUAAGUAAUCUUUUCUCCUAUCAACAUUGUCACUUUCAAAUUAUCACUUAAUUUGUCUUAAGUUUCAACUUUAUUUAAAGUUGAAAACAGAUAGUACGUAGUCAUCUCAAAAUGAAGCUUUCUUCUGCCUCCUCUUCCAAGUUCCAACACAUAAUAAAAUGCAUAUUUUUUUAUUUUGAAAAAAUAAAUAUAAAAACAACAUACUUACAAUUUUUAUCUAUUUUAAGAAAGAUGUUAUGACUAUUGUUACUAAAAUUUCUUAUUAAUUUUUUCAAACAGACAAAAGGAGCCUUAAUGUCAUUCUCAACAUAAUAAAAAAAUAAUGAUUUAUUGAUUAGUUCAACUAAUCAAAUGUGUACUAUUAUUAAAUAAUUAAAUAUUAUUUUAUUAGGUAAAUCAACUGGUCAUCACCAGCAAUUCUCUUCGUGGACUGACAAGUAAACACUAGUAAUCCUGCUUUCUAGCCAAGAACUGUGCAUACAAUGACAAACUUUGUAUUUUUUUGUUUAAAUUAAUAGAACCUUUAUACUGUAGUCUCCGAAUUUAUUGAUAAGACAAAGAAAAAAAAUAUGUUUCCAAAAACUCAUAUAAAAAUAAUCUUUUUAAAAAAUUAUUUUAGUUUUAUGUAUUUAUGGGUCAAAGAUAAUAUUUAAGAUGGUCAAAUAUAAUACCUGUAUCAUUAAAAGAUAAUACCUAAACGAUAAAAAAUAGUACUUUGAUUAAAAAGUGUAUGAAAUACUAAUUAUUUUUAGAUAACUGCUUGAAAUUUAUAUUUUAUAUAAUUAGUGAUAAGGCAGAAUCCUAUUCUGAUUGAUUCUUUCCUUGAUCUUAGAUUAUUUGUUAUUACGUAUAUUUUAUCUUUUCCUAGUUUAUAGGAUCUUUCAAUUGUAUAUAGAUUCUAUAUAAUGAGAAACAAUUACCUCAAUAAUUAUUGAGGAUUUCAGCCAUAUUUUACAUGGGUUCUCAAACCUUUAUAUGGUAUCAGAGCAGGUUCUAAAAUAUUUUUUUCGAUCCUCUUCAUGGCUACAUCGUCGUCCUCAUCAUCUCCACUUCCGCUCAACACGAUGGUGCAUAUGCUCACCAUCAAAGUAACCUCCUUUAAUUAUUUGUUAUGGAGAAAUCAAUUUAUCCCUUUGUUGACCAGCCAAGAUCUUCUUGGAUUUCUGGAUGGUAGUGUCCUAGCUCCUUCUCCACAGGUUACUGAUUCUAACGGCACCACCCAAGUGAAUCCGGCCUACACCUCUUGGUUGACUACUGAUCAGACUCUUCUCAGUCUUCUUUAUUCUUCUCUUACAGAGGAGUCUAUGAGUGAGGUACUUGGUCUAAGUCAUGCACAUGAGGCCUGGACCACUCUUGAAGCCUCUUUUUCUCACAGAUCCAAGACUCGAGAACUCCAACUCAAGGAUGAGCUUCAACUGAUGCAGCGAGGCUCAAAAUCCGUAGCAGAAUUUUCUCGACUCUCCAAAAGGCUCUACGAUCAACUGGCGGCAAUUGGUCGUCCCAUUGAUGACUUGGAUAAAGUCCAUUGGUUCUUAAGAGCCUUAGGUCCCAAUAUAAAAUUUUCUCCACUACAAUGCUUUCCCAGCUUCCAUUACCUUCUUUUGUAGAUAUCAUUCCAAAAGCUUUGAGUCAUGAGAUCUUUGAACGAUCAGUGUACCAACAAUCUAUCAACUCAGCGUUCUACACUCAACGAAAUAAUUCCACCAGACCGAAAAGCACCAAGAGCGGGAAACCCAAACCUUCCACUGCCUCUGCCUCAAAAUCGUCCCCCUCUUUUCCUGUUUAUUGUCAAAUUUGCGACAAAGAGGGUCACCUGGCUAAACAGUGUUGGAUGUUCCUUAAUCUCAAGAAAAAACAAUCUACCAACCUGGCUGAGGCUUUCGCAGCUUGCUCAAUUCCGGACUCCAACGACUCCGAAUGGUAUCCGGAUUCUAGUGCAACCUCUCACUUAACAAAUGAUCUCGAGUGUGUAGAUGUUCCUGUUGUCGACUUUGGUAAUGAACGGGUGAUGGUUGGUAAUGGUUAGUCCAUUUCCAUUUCUCACACGUGUUCCCUUUCCACUCUUGUUCCCCAAAGCUCUUUAUUUUUAUCCAAUGUUUUAGUUGUUCCUGACAUUAAGAAAAAGCUUAUUUCCAUUAGUCAACUUACAAAGGAUAAUAAUUGUUGUGUCAUUUUUUCUCCCUCUGGUUUUAUCGUACAGGAUUAGGUCACAAGAGUAGUGUUGGGGGUUGGCAGAUGUGAGAAUGGCUUGUAUGUGCUCGAUCAAAAUCAUCAUGCCCUUGCUUCCAUCGUUUCUUCAAAUAAGCCAUGUGUCUCUGUUCCCUUGUGGCAUGCUCGACUAGGCCACCCUAGUUUUUGUACCAUUAACUCUCUUUCUAAGUUUGGUUUUAUUUCUUGUAGUAAUAAAUUGAUGGGUUUAGAUUCAAGUUUAUGUGUUGGAUGUAACCUUGGUAAGAGCCAUCGUUUACCCUUUUCACUUAAUAAUAAUCGUUGUCCUUUGCCUUUUGAUCGCUUACACUGUGAUUUAUGGAGCCCUUCACCUAUUUGUUCUCUUACUAGUUUUCGUUAUUAUGCAGUGUUCAUUGAUGAUUGUACCAGAUUCAGUUGGUUUUUCCCAUUAAAACACAAUUCUAAUUUUUUUUUAUACCUUUAUCAAUUUUCAACAUUAUAUUGAGACUCAAUUUUCUUCUAAAAUUAAGUCCUUCCAAUGUGAUGGUGGAACUGAAUUUACAAAUAAUAAAUUUCGCUCUCACCUUACGUCUUGUGGUAUUGUGCUACUCAUUGCUUGCCCCUAUACACCGAGUCAAAAUGGGAUUGCUGAACGUAAACACUGACAUGUCACUAAAACGGGUCUUACCAUUAUGUUUCAUGCUUGUGUUCCAUUAUUUCUUUGGGUUGAGGCCUUCUCAACAGCUGUUUAUCUCAUCAACCGACUCCCAUCACAAACUCUUGAUGGCAAAACUCCCUACGAGCUCUUGUUCGGUAAACAACCAAACUACUCUAUGCUUCGUACUUUUGGAUGUUUAUGCUUUCCUUAUUUGAGAGAUUAUGCGCUCCUAACAAAUUGUCUCCCAAAUCAUCAUCUUGUGUCUUUUUAGGUUAUAGCCCUCUUCACAAGGGUUUUUGCUGUUUUGAUCACAAGACACAACGUCUUUAUGUCUCUCGACAUGUCCAAUUUUAUGAAACUAUAUUUCCUUAUGCGGGUGAUGAUAUGCAACAAAUUCAUAAUUCAACACCUUAUAUUACUUUCUUUGAUUCUUUCAAGUCUAACGAUAAUAUGUCUCCUGAUUUGUUGCUAUCUUCUCCUGUUUCGAAUCCUAAUUGUUUGCCAUGCAGUGAUGACCUUCAUGCUUCCUCCCAUGCAUCUCCGAUCAUAUCUACCAUUCCUUCUUCUAGUCCUCUAUCACCAUCUGUUUCCAUACCGACGACUUCUACCAACACUCACCCAAUGGUUACUAGAGGAAAAAUUGGUAUAUUUAAACCUAAGGCCUAUCAUGCGUUGACACUUUCACCUUCGUCUCAGUUUUUUCAAGUCCUUCUUGCCAUACAAGAGCCUCGAGGUUUCAAGUCUGCAGCCAAACACCCUGAAUGACUCUCGACUAUGGAUGAUGAAAUACAAGCUUUGAAGAAGAAUGAUAUUUGGGAUCUUGUACCUCGCCCUAUCAAUCAUAAUGUGGUUGGUUGUUGUUGGAUCUUUAGGACCAAGCUCCAUGCUAAUGGUUCCAUUGAGCGUCAUAAGGCUCGUCUCGUGGCCAAGGGCUUCUCUCAAAUUCAUGGCCUUGAUUUUGAAGAUAUAUUCAAUCCUAUGGUGCAGCCUGCUACUAUUCAGAUUAUUCUUUCCAUUGCAGUCAGUUCUGGAUGGCCCUUACAUCAAUUAGAUGUUAAGAAUGCCUUUCUUCAUAGUCAUUUUUCUGAAGAAGUAUACAUGGAACAACCACCUGGCUACACUGAUGCACAAUUUCCACAACAUGUGUGCCAUUUGAAACGUGCUCUCUAUGGACUCAAACAAGCCCCUCGUGCUUGGUUCCAACGAUUCAGCUUUUUUUUUAUUUAUGAAACUUGGUUUUAUUCUCAGUCAGGCUGAUUCAUCUUUCUUUGUCCAUCAUACCAUAGCAAGCACAGUUUAUCUUUUGCUCUAUGUUGACAAUAUGGUGCUUACUGGCACCAAUCCUGUUUUGAUCAAGACUCCUAUCACUCGGCUAUCCAAAGAAUAUACAAUGAAAGAUUUGGGUUCUCUACACUAUUUUCUUGGUGUUGAAGUCCAACAUAACUCUCAAGGCUUAUUUCUUAGCCAAACCAAGUAUGCUCUUGAUUUACUACAACGUGCUGACAUGAUUGAGGCCAAACCCAUUUCUACUCCUUUUGUUGUUGGUCAACAUCUCUCCACUAUAGGGAAACUAUUUUCGGAUCCCACUCUUUUUCGGUCUUUUGCAAGAGCCUUGCAAUAUUUGACCAUCACUCAGCCUGAUCUCUCUUUUAGUGUCAAUUCUAUUUGCCAGUACAUGCAUGCUCCAACUGAAGAUCAUUUUCGAACACUCAAACGCAUAUUGCGUUAUGUUAAAGGCACAGUCCAUUAUGGUCUUCAACUUCACUGCACCUCUUCUCAUGAGUUGCUUGCUUAUUCUGACGCUGAUUGGGCUGGUUGUCCUAAUACACAACGAUCUACCAGUGGUUAUCUUAUAUUCUUUGGCGCUAAUUUUGUCUCUUGGUGCUCUAAGAAACAAUCUACUGUUUCUCGCUCCAGUGCUGAAGCUGAGUAUAGAUCCUUAGCCAUUACUACUGCUGAAGUUGCUUGGAUUGUUCAGCUCCUUCGUGAUCUACGUCUUCCCUUGCCUUCCCCUUCGAAGAUAUUAUGCGACAAUAGAAGUGCUCUUUUUAUGGCGGUCAAUCCAGUCACUCGGUCUAGAUCUAAGCACAGUGCGAUUGAUUAUCAUUUUGUUCGUGAAUUGAUUGCAAAUGGUUCUUUAAAAGUCACAUUUACUCCCUCCCAUAGUCAGUUUGCCGAUUCUUUUACCAAGGGCGUCUCUAAGCCUCAGUUCCUACUUUUUCGUAACAAGCUUCAUGUUAUUCCUUCUACCACAUUCAGCUUGCAGGGGGGUGAUAGGGGCAGAAUCCUCUCUUGAUUGAUUCUUUCCUUGAUCUUAGAUUAUUUGUUAUUAUGUAUAUUUAUCUUUUCCUAGUUUGUAGGAUCUUUCAACUGUAUAUACACUCUAUAUAAUGAGAAACAAUUACCUCAAUAAUUAUUGAGGAUUUCAGCCCUAUUUUACACGGGUACUCAAACCUUUAUAAUUAGGUUCCUAUUUUGUGACUUUUUCCAUAUGUGUAUGAAAUAUACUUUUCCCUAAGACAAAAAGUACAAAUUAAACAGGGAGACGAUAGUAUAUAUCAAAGCUCCAAAGUAGUGAAGACAAAAAAUAAUUGAAAUUGGUCAUUGCUGCAUUUCCACACAAAAAAAAUAAUUACAUUCAUAAUAUAAGUAAUAGUAACCAGUAAAUUAAAGUCAAUCAUGAUGAGCAACUUGAACCAUUAUAAGUAAUUUUAAUUUCCAUAAAUAUUUGACUAGUGAGGUAUACAUAAGUAACCUCGAUUCAUAUUCAAUAGGAAAAUUAAAUAUGUAUAAGAAAUUUGCAAUGAAAAAGUUAACAAAAAAGUCUAGUUUGCAUUUAAAACUUUUAUGGAAUUUUUUAAUAAGAUAUGUAGCAUCUAUUGAGUAUCAUAUUAUAUUAACAAAAACAUAUACCACGAAUAUUAAAACAAUUGAAUUCUUCUUUAAGUACUUAAUUAUUUGACGUUAUGGUAUAUACAAUGAAUAAGGGAACCAAAAAAAUUCACUAGCAAAUAAAUAGAGUACAAUAAAUUCAUUAACAUGUCAAUUGUUUUAACAUUGUUAUAUAUCUUCGAACAAUCCUGAUGAAUCCUUAGCAACAUAAAUUCUUCAUGCACUAAUAGAUGUUACCUUGGACUUUAUUAUCAUAAAUUAUUACAAGUUAUGUAAAAAGUUUUACCCUAUAUUUAGUCAUCUCCUCCUGAAAAUUGUAAAAAUAAAAUAAAAUAAAUCUAUGUUAUUAUCAAUACAUAUUGUCUCAUAUCAUAGGAUUGUUAAUUACUUAGCAUGGAAAUAAUAUACAAUUAUAUAAUGUGUUAAUACCAAUGCUAAAGGGGUAUAAAAAGAUGCUUCUCAUACUAAUACUUUUAUAAUAAAAUUCUUUUGCAACACAAAUGCACUACACUUAUAACAUUUAUACUAAUAUUAUGAUGCAUUAUGGUAUGGCCUAAUUUAGAAAUUUAUAUACAUGUGUUUUACAAAACUGAGUGUUAUGGGUUAUCAUGCUAUAUUCCUUAACAUGCUUUAUGCCACAAGAAGUCAAAUAAAAUAUCAAUUCGAAUUCAAAAAACUUUUAAAUUUAUUAUUUUAUAAAAAUCAUUAAGUAAUUUCAAUGCAUUGAGUGGAUGAUAUUAAUAUAUUUAUUAUGUAUCAAUAUCCAACAUGGUAUAAAAGGGGUCUGCAAACACUAAUACUUUAUUAUGAAGUUUCGUUAUGAUAUAAAUACACUACACUUACAAUAUAAAUAUGUCAAUAUUACGAUAUACUACGAGAUGACCUAAUUUAGAAAUUUAUUAACUUUUUUUAACAAAACGGAGAGUUGUGGGUUAUCAUGCUAUAUUUCCUAGCAUAUCUUAUGUCAUAAAGUAACCUUAAAAACAAAAUAAAGUACCAAUUUGAAUUUCCAAGCCAAAUAAAUUCCAAAUGACAAUCUAAUUGUAAUAUAAAGGAUAUUAAAAAAAAUUAUGAAAUGAUAUUUUUUACUUAGAAUGACAAAUUUUACAGAUUUUAUUUUAUUUUUUUUAUGUAAGAAGAACAAAUUUACAAUCUUAUCUAUAUAGAUUUUGGUAGGCAAAUCUCGAUCAAACUUGUUUCCAUUACAUCAAUAUAAAAAAUUCCUCAUGAAAUUUUAGUUCACCAUGAAAUUAGCAAUUGAGCCUAACUUGUAAGACAAACAUCUUUAACACGUGCAUCUAUAACCAAUGAAAAAAAAUUAACAAUGACAUAAUUUUGAUUAUUUAUACAAACUUAUUAGAAUUUGAAGCGCAUUUGUUGUUACGCUAACUAAUGCCCUCAUCAUACAUUUCAAUAAUCAUAAUGAUACAUAAGAAUGUAACUCAUACUGAAUAAAUAGAAAAUAUGAUAAUCAAAUAGAGUUAUUAUUUGUUUAUAUGAAGCUAUAAGCCUUUGACAUAUAAAGGAUGAGAAAGUAAGAACCCAAAUCAAAACCCAACAAGCAACAUUGAAAAAAUAAAAAUCUUAGAAGUAGAAGAGAGUGUACCGAUUGAAGAAAGACGUAGACAUAGGGAAAUGGAGAUGGUGAUGGAAAAUCCAAAAAUUCAAUUUAAAAAGGACAUUCAAAACAAACCAAAACCCAAUGUCACUAUAUUUUGUUUUAGAUUCCUACUUAUUCUCUAAAAAAAAAGGGUGUAAAAUUGAACACCAAUGUCUUCCAAAGAGUUUCUUAUUUUUUACAUGUAAAAAUAGUGGAAGGAUUUUAAAUGAAACCUUACAAAUUGAAAUCACAAUAAAAGGGUUUCUCAAACAAAAAAAUGACCACAUCUAUGGAGAAAGAUAUUAGCAUACUUCAGAAGAGUUCUUUUAGGCUUUUCUAUUUCAUCGUUUACAAAAAAGAAGAAUGACUAUGAUAAUGAUGAGAGGUUUAGAAGGUUAGACCUUUGAUCUUCAUUAUGGUUUUCUUGUUUUAAGCUUCUCUCAUUCUUUUUUUUCAUAAUUCAUGUAAACAAACCAUCAGAUCACAUUUUAUUUUGUUUUUCUCAUAUUUAUAAGAAGCAAUAGAAAAAAGGUCAUUCAAAUGGUAAAAUUGUCCUCUUAUAAGUUGAGUCCUUGGUAGGAAUUGAAACAAUUAGUAACCCUUUAAGAUGGUACUUAUCACCUCCAACCCAUCAUAUUUGAUAAUUUUCCUUAUAUAAGUAUAAUAAUAUUAUUUCUAAAAUACACUUCCAUGGAUCAUGAUUUGUGGUUUUGUUCUUUUUAUUUUUAAAAUUUGAAGUGGGAAAAAUGAGAAGAAAUUUAGUUAGGAUCUGAAGAGAAAAAACUGAGAUGAAGAUGGGAAAGAAAUGAAGUGUAAUUAAGACUUUUAAAAUGCAUUUGAUAUAAGAAAAUAGGAAUAGAAAUAGGAUGAGAAUAAGACAAAUCAUAAUUUCAUGUGAAGGAGAGGAAUUAAAAUCCUAAUGAGAGUGAAAUUUGGUUUCCAUAAUAAUGAAUUUUUUUAUUGUUAUCCUCAUUAUAAAAUAUAAUCCAAAUGUAUUAAUGAAUGUGAUUUCUCGUUCUCAUUUUCUAUAUAUUCCAAUAUUUCAAACAAAUCCCAUACAUGAAAGAAACAAAGGUAGAAAAGAGGGUAAACAUUUUACAUGCAUCAAAUUGUCCUAAUUAUAUUUAUCUGUCCAUGUAUUGUCAUUCAAUCUAAACUUAAAGAAAAAGUUGUGUAUAAAUUGAAUAAGCCUUCUUAAGCUAUUUCCAUGUAUUCUCAUCCUAUCACUAAUCUCUUCAAUCUAAGCUAGCUUUAUGGAAAGGGGUGUUUGGUUAAAAAGGGCAAAACAACUUGGUAUUUAGAACAUUCCAUCCAGGUUUACUCUAAAAGUUUCGUUAUUUCCCCCACAAUUAAAUAAUGCUAAGAGUAGCAAAAGUAAGGUAUUUUUUUGCCAAAUGGGUUUACAUACCUGCAUUCGACCUUGUCGUAUGAUUUUCUUAACUUUUUUCUACUUAUCUUAGUUAGCUCAUUUUUAAUGUUGGGUUGCAAUAAUGGUGUAUAGGGAUGUCAUCACAUAAUUGAUGAAAAAGAUGCAUUGUGAUCGCAAACGUUGAGUUUUUUGAAGGAUCUUACGUCAUUUUAAAGGGAUCUGAUGUGUUUUUGAAGGGAAAUAAAAAAAAGGAUAGAAAUAUCCAAUCAAAAUCAUAUUUCAAAACAAUUUAUAAGGAAGGUUACUUUUACAAUUUCACCAUUAUUUUGAGUCAUUUAUCCAAAUAACCUGCCCUUUCCAACCUAUCCAAAAUAACCCUUUUGGUAAAGUGAUGUAUAAAUUGAGUAAGCUUCAUUAUUUCCAUGUAAUUCUCAUCCAAUCAAUAAUCUCUUCUCGGUUCACAUGUUUCACAUGUAGAAAUUAAAAACAUGGUGAAUAAGAAAACAUAGUACUUACAUCCGAUUUUCCCAAGACAAUAACGGUAGAUUACAUAUCUGCUCCAUUUCUACUAUUCCAAUAUACUCUAUAUUGUACAGUAGGACAACCCCACCAUGUUCAUUCUUAUUAUAUCAUGUACAAUGGUGUGGGAUUCUACUAUGCAUUCAAAGAAUCUGUGUUUAACUUGACUGCCAUUUUAAUGUGGAAAACAAAUUAUUUUCCAACUUAUAAAAAUCUAACAAAAAGUAUUGAAUGUUUUGAAUCAGCUUAUGUCCUAUACGUAGACUUAACAUAUGUAUACAUGGCCAAUCAUUAAUUUAAGAUGAAAAAAAUGUUCAACUACCAAUUUUUCUAAUAAUUUUAACUUGUAAGAUCUGGACUUUAAUAUCAUGUCGAAUUAUCAAUUUUUCUAAAAGCUUAAACUUAUAAGAUUUAGGUUUAAUAUGCAUUUCAUACUUCUUAACAAAAAGUUCAUCUGAUGGAAGCAGAAGAUAACAGAAAAUUAAUGAUAAUAAAUGAUGAUGUUGUGCUUAUAGUGAAAAGAUAUUAAACAAGGUAAAAAAAAAAUCAAAGAAAGAGACCAAUUCCAUUGAAAUUAAAGAGUUCAGUCAUUUUUUACUUACCAUAGUAGAUGAAGGUAUGGACAUAUUUGGCAAUUGUUUUUUAAAACAUUUUUGUAUUCUCUAAAACAAACAAAUUAAAAAAAUACAUUUGAUAACUAAAAACUGUUUUUUGUUUUUAAAAAUAGAAAAUACGAUGUUUUCAAAAAAUAUUUUUUUGUUAUUUUUUAUUAUUUUCACUUAUUUUCUAAUAAUUGUUUAAAAAAAUAAUUAUACCAAUAAGUAGAAUGAUUAAAAAUAAAACAAUAAAUAUAAAAAUUAUUUUUUAAAAAUAUUAAAAAAACAGGUUAAAAACGUUUUAGCUUUCAAAAUAGCUUUUGUUCUAUAAAACAUAAAAUAUAAAAAAAUUAUUUUUCAAAAACUGCUAUCAGAAGUUGUUUUUCAAAAUCGUUUUUUUUUUCAUAGAAUUAAUUUUAUUUUUAAUAUUUAUUGCCACUUUUUAAGGCUUAAUUUCAUGGACAUUUACAAAAAUGGCUAUUAUAAAUGAAUUAUAUACAUAUGACAGGUUAAUAAAUUUUAGUUUCUAGGAUUGUCAUAUUAUUAUUAUUAUAAAAUAUGUACAAGAUAAAACAGUGUUUCUAUUAAAUAUGUACUAAACAUUGCAAUGGUAUUAGAGAUGUCAAAUACAGUAAUUUAAAUAUUAUUCAUAUUAUUUAAUGGUAAAUAAUUAUUUGGAAUAAUAAAUCAACUAAUAAUAUUAAUAUUAGCAUUAAACAAUAAUAUAAAAAUAGAACCAAAAAAGAAAUAAGAGAAAAUUCUUAAGAAUAAUUUGAUUAAAAUUCAUAUAUCUAAGAUGAAAUGUUAAUCUUUUAUAUCUUUCAAAUUAAUUAUAUUAGAAGAAAUUAAAACAUAAUUUCUCAUUUAUUCCUCCAAUUUUUAAUGUUUCAAACGCUUUAAACUUUAUUAUUUUUAUGAUUUAAGGUGAUAAUCAAUUUCCUCACCCACACAAGGAAUUCUGAAUGUCAGUAUCACAAUCAAUUUACUAAUAUAUACAUUUUUUUUAAUUGUUUAUUGACUCUCUCUCUCUUCUGCCUCUCUCUCUCUCUCUCUGCCUCUCUGUCUCUUCUGCCUCUCUCUCUCUCUCUCUCUCUCCAAAGAUGGUGUCACAUAUCACUAUUAUAUUGCCACGUACAUGUCAUUGGGUUUACCACCAAAGAUGGUGUCACAUAUCACUAUUAUAUUGGCACAUACAUGUCAUUUGGUUCACCAAGACUUCCAUUUAAUAAACUUUUCUGACCUCAAUGCCUUGCAGUGCACAGGUACUAUUUCUAGAACAUCUUCAGAGAUCCUGCCAUCUCUCUCUCUCUCUCUCUCUGCCUCUCUGUCUCUUUCUGUCUCUCUCUGUCUCUCUGCCUCUCUGCCUCUCUCUCUCUCUCUCUCCAAAGAUGGUGUCACAUAUCACUAUUAUAUUGGCACAUACAUGUCAUUGGGUUUACCAAGACUUCCAUUUAAUAAACUUUUCUGACCUCAAUGCCUUGCAGUGCACAGGUACUAUUUCUAGAACAUCUUCAGAGAUCCCGCCACUUGCGAUUAUUGUAAGAUGCCAUUUAAGCCUAUCACAUGUCGCCAGGUUGGGGAGACCCUAUGUUUGGGGCAUCUACAAAGGUUGUGCCACAUGUCACAUGUCACUAUUUCCCUUUAUUGUGCUGCGUGGCAAACCGACAACUUCAUUUCUCAUGCGAAAAAUUAUAGGGAGAAUUGUGUUUUCAGCGAGAUAAUUAAGAUAAAGUCUUCAAUCAUUUGUCGUUAUUACAAGAACAUGAUAUGAUAAUGGAUAUAAAUACCUUUUUACUUAUUUUUGUUUUUAUUAUACCACUCAUUAUAUGCUAUUAUUAAUAAAUUCUCUUUUCUUUAAUUAUUUUUUGAUUUUUCAUUGGUUUUUUAAAUUUUUUUUAUAAAUAAUUAAAAAAUUAAUAUUAUUUUAUAUUUUUAAAUUAUAAAUAAAAAAAAAUUUAUUGAUGAUUUAAAAACUAUUUUGAAAAAUACUUUCUAAAAAAUGUUAAUUUAAAUAAAUAAAAAUUAUCUUAUAUAUUUUAGAAUUAAAUAAUUUAAUGAUUAAAACACUAUUUAAAUUAAAUAUAUUCACUAUUUAUUUUCUUUUAUACUAAAAAGUAUUUUAAAAUUUUCUUUUUCCUAUUAUAAAAUAAAAGGUUCAAUUUUCUUUUUUUUUUAAAAAAAUUCUUUUUUUCUUGUUUUAAUAACUUUUUGAACAUGACUUUUAUAGUAAUAAGUUAUAUGAAAUAUUAUAAAUUUAUUUGAUAAAGAUUUUUUUUAAUGAUUUGAAUUAAUUAAAAAUUUAUCAAAAAAAAGAAAAAGUAAAAGAGAGAAAUAGGAUGGAUGAAGAGUUUUUAUUUUAAAUAUAUAAUUAAAAUGUUUUCAACUUAAUUUUAGAAGUGAAUUAUAACUAUAUAUAGUAGAUAAUGAUUUUUUUCUUAAAUAAAAGAGUUAAAAGGUAUAUUUACUCAUUUCAGAUAAAAAAAAAAAUUAAAAUUAUAUAGAUUGUGUUUGAGUUUGGUUUAAAAAUAUUUUUCUAGUUUUUAUUUUUUAUUUAUUAUUUUUUAAAAUAAUUUUUAUUUUUUAUAUGGUCUCUUUUAGAAAAUAUGUUUAAUUAAAAAAUGAAAACUAUUUUUUAAAAAUGAAAAUUGAAAACCUUAUUUAAUACUAUUUUUUCAUAUGAAAAUAAUAAAAAGACUUAAAAGAAUUUAAUCCUAAGUCAUACACUUUAUUUAACUUCCACAUGGAAAUUUCAAUACUUUCUAUGGUAAUGAUGUUUGGAGAAAAAAAUUUGACCCUAAGUCAUCCACCAUUUUCUCAACCAAACCAUUGAAAAUAUGAUUAACACACCUACGUGAACACAUAACUUAGAGAGAUAUGAAAUUUGUGUCAUUGUACAAGGGUAUUACACUAACUGUACAAUGAAAAUGUACUAAGUGUACAAGGGUGUAUAAGGUUACCUUUUAUGAAAGAUUUCAAUCGAUUAUGAACCACUCCAUUUUACUUUCUUUGUUGCCAAUAUAUUAUACACUCAUGUUAUACACUUUAUUUAACUCUUACAUAAAAAUUUUAAUACUUUCCCUAGUAAUGAUGUUUAGGGAAAAAAAAAUUGACUCGGAGUCAUCCAAUAUUUUCUCAACUAAACAAUUAGAAAUAUGGUUAACACACCUACGUGGAUACAUAAUUUAGGAGAAAUAUGAAAUUUGUACCACUAUACAAGAGUGUUACAUUAACUGUAUAAGAGUAUUACACUAAUUGUACAAAAGAAAUAUACUAAGUGUACAAGGAUGUACAAGGCUAGCAUUUGUGAAAAUUUUCAAUCAAUUAUGAAUUACUCCUUUAUUUUCCUUGUCACCCAAGAAUUGUAUACUCAUUAUAUUAAUUGUACAAGGGAAAUAUACUAAGUGUACAAGGAUGUACAAGACUAGUAUUUGUGAAAAAGUUCAAUCGAUUAUGAAUUACUCAUUUAUUUUCCUUGUCACCCAAGAAUUGUAUACUCAUGUCAUACACUUUAUUUAAUUCCCAUAUGGAAAUUCUAAUGUUUUCCCCAAUAAUGAUGUGGGGAAAAUUUUUUAACUAUAAGUCAUCCACAAUUUUCUCAACCACAUGAUUAAAAACAUGUUUAACACACCUACAGGGACACAUAACUUAGGAGGAAAAUAAAAUUUGUACUACUAUAUAAUAUUACACUAAUUGUAUNNNNNNNNNNNNNNNNNNNNNNNNNNNNNNNNNNNNNNNNNNNNNNNNNNNNNNNNNNNNNNNNNNNNNNNNNNNNNNNNNNNNNNNNNNNNNNNNNNNNNNNNNNNNNNNNNNNNNNNNNNNNNNNNNNNNNNNNNNNNNNNNNNNNNNNNNNNNNNNNNNNNNNNNNNNNNNNNNNNNNNNNNNNNNNNNNNNNNNNNNNNNNNNNNNNNNNNNNNNNNNNNNNNNNNNNNNNNNNNNNNNNNNNNNNNNNNNNNNNNNNNNNNNNNNNNNNNNNNNNNNNNNNNNNNNUAGUUUUUUUUUUCUUUUUUGUUUUUUUACCAAACUAUGCCAUUAAGACCAAUGAGAAAUAAUAUACAACAUAUUUAUUAUUUUUUAAGUAAGAAACAAAAAAAAUAAAUUUGCUAAGGUAUUUAAAAAAUAUUUAUUAUAUAUUUUAUAAGUUUGAAAAAAAAUUUAAUGAUGUCUAAUUUGCAAGUUAUAACAAAUAAAGAAUACUAAUAUUUGAUGAGAUGUUUAAAAAUUGUUUAAUAUAUAUAAGAAAUAAUAUAAGUUUGAAAUAAAUAAUAAUAUUUAUUAUAUAUUAUGUAAGUUUGAAAAAAAUAAUAAUAUUUGAUAAGGUAUUUAAAAACUAUUUACUUCAAAAAUGCAUUUGACAAUAAUAAUUUUUAACUAUUUAUCUUUCAUGUUCAAUUUGUUGGAGAAAAAUAAUUGGUAAAUUAUUUAACUUGAUCCCACUAAUAAAUAAGUGAGAGAAUGAUGAAAAAGCCAAAGAAAGAAACAAGAAAGGUAGGAGUGAGUGGUAGCUUUUUGAUUUGAUAGUUAAGGGUAUUUUAGUAAUUUUUAAAGGCAAUAUCAUUCCUUUCAAUUUCUACUUUUUCUUUGGGUUUUGAAUUUAAUUAUGGGUGAUAGUAGGACCUUACCUCAAUUAUCUAACCUAGUUGGGGUGGAAACACAAUUCUCCCAAAAUUAUAUAUCCUUUAUUUCCCUUCAUUUAUAAUUAACAAAUUAACCUCAUUUCCUUUCCCACCAUCUUCAUCUUCAACAUAUUCUCGCCUUCUCCUUCCCUUUUGGUUCACGUUAUUUUUUCCCAUGUCUUCUUCAAACUCACUCAAAAUUGAAGGAACAAAAAAUCCCAAUUAACGAAAAAUGUAAGAAAAAUUUGAACAAUAUUUUUUCCUAAUUACAUUUUUUAGGGAACCAAACAAUGAAAUAACACGAGAAUAUAAUCUAGAAAAUUACUUGAUAAAAAAUGUAAUUGUGUUGUAAAAAUAAAAAUAAAAAUCAUAACAAAGAAUAAAAAUAAAGAGAGAAAAAAAAGGAAUGAAAACAAUAAAAUACAUCAAACAUACAACAAUUCACAUGAUUUGGUUUGAAGUUAAUUCAUAUGAUGAAGAACUUCUAGUAACACUUUCCAUCACUUCCAUCUCACAUCUCCUUGAGCUACGUCCAGCUUUCUUUUAGUAAGAAAAAUACAACACCACAUUAAUUCUAUGCUUCCAAACUAGUUGACUUAGUCACGUAUGGCUACCACUCUCAUUGCAAAAAGUUUGAUAUUAAGUUGCAGGUCUUCCAUGGUUCCAUUUUGGAGCACUUGCAAAAACAAAAGCAAAUCAACAACAGACAAAUUAAGACUAUAAAUUCUCUAAAUCUUCACUAAAAUUAACCACUUGGACUUGAAACAUGAUUCAUUUUUUCCUCCAUAACUUGAUUAGUUUGUCUAAUUCGGCAAGAGAAGACCCUGAUAGAAUAAAUGUGGACCGACAAUAUAUUAAACAUUGUCCAGGAUUAAGCUAUCUUUUAACAUGCAAUUUCUGAUUUAAUCUUCAGUAUGGACCACCUAAUGUGUAGAGCCCAAUGCCAUCACGGGCUUUAGAUGAUGGGCCUAAGGCCCGUGAGGCCCAAUAACCAAUGGGUAUGGUCCCUAAGGCAGGAGGGUAUAAAAGGCUUAGGCUUGUGUCUUUUGGGAAAAUCACAUCCUUUUGAAAGAACAGAACCGCUCUCUCUCCCGCUCCCAUUGCCUGAGAGAAUACAGUGAAAGAGGUGGUGCCCUCCGUUACUCUUAGAAGAUCCAUACCGUCUUCAUCAAACACACAAAUGGAAUCAGGUAGGUACCAUUUUCCUUAGAGAUUUAUGGUAUAACAUUCAUGUGAUUCAACAUGUGAUCCUGUAUGAUCAUUAUUUAGAAUAUGGAAUCUUACAAAUUGGUAUCAGAGCCUAAUGUUGAAUCACUUAGAAAUGGUAUAUUAGGGCAAUAAAAAUUGUACUGCCUUUGUUUUUCCUUUUGAUUGGAUUCAGCGCCAUUGGAAGUGCGUUUCACGCACAUUUGGAGGCACCACAGAAGGCGCCAGUGUAGGCGCCACUCAGAUGCCAUAAAGGCGCUGUUAUGCAGCGCCCUUCAGGGUGUCUCUCCGACGGCGUUAAGGCGCCAGUCAAGGCGCUUCAGGCGGCGCGUUUCAGGCGCGCUGCAGCUGAUUACUACUCAAAAAGUGCAAUUUCAUAGCUUGUAAUUAAUCCUUUUAAACACUUUUGAGUAGUAGUUAUUGCCUUUUAACUCAAUUAACAUGUUAAGGACCCUUACAAUCAUUUCUAAUCAAAUUGUGUAAGUUUUGGUGUUUUUGUUAGUAAUUUGAUCACCAAAACAAUCCAAGAUUGAGGAGAGUUAUUUGGAAUCCAUGGCAAAGCAAUGAAGAGCUCAAAUUCAUGAAGAACCAAGCUUUGGAGCCUCAUAGCCCUUUGCCAAAGUCGUUCAAAGUAUGCAAGGAAAGAGUACUGGAGAGAGGAAAAACAAAGUGAAGAAAACAGAUGAAAGCCAGCUACAGUCUUCAUGUGCACUUUUGGAGCACUUCCCGAAGUCCAUUUUCUACAUUCUAUAUACCAUUUCAAAGCUCAGGAAGUCAAGAAUCCAAUGCUUCAAACUGUGCACGAUUCGGAGUUGAAACGAAGGAGUUACAGCCAUUGCAAGAAGAUCACUCCAAAGUGUUGCGAAAUCAGCCUUUUGUUGCGAGAAUUUCGCAGCCUUUUUGUACAGUGCUAUGGAAUUCCUCCUGAAGCUACCCGAUACAUGCCGCAAGCUGGAAGUUGAGAACCUCAAGGUGGAAGCCAACUUCGCAGCCCUACGAGGAUAGCUUGUUGCUGCGAAGUGAUUUCGCAGCCCUCUUGAGUGUCUGCGAAAUCUCGCAGACACCAUUUUCUCCUGCGAAAUGGUUCCUGAAGCUUCCCGAUACUUUUGCACCGACUCUUUCAGAUCUUUUCUUCAGAUAUUUUUGGUAUAAUUUCCAUUUUCUCCUUGUAUUCAACCACUCAUGUAAUUCCUUAACUAGGAAGUGUCCAAGGAAGGGUAAAUUACCUUCCUAUAUAAACUCUCUUGCAUCCACUGUAAAAAGACGCUCGGAGAAGUAUGUAAUAUAGAUAUAUCAUAUAUAGAAUCAGAGAACAGAGCACUUGCUCUGUUUUUCAUAUAUAUUCUUGUCUUCUCUUUCAUUUUCAUUUUCUAGCCAACCAAACUCUGAGGAUUUUUCCACCGGGGAUGAGAGGCUAAGCUUUUUGUCUCUUGGAGUGAGGAAAGCCGGGUAAGUUUCCACAUGCAUAAAUUGGAAGUUUUGUUGUUUUAGUUUUUAAUGAAGAGAAAGUGUGACCCGUUAAUGGUUUUUAUCUUUUUAGUUAACUUAAAACGCCUUUAAAUCACCUGGGCCAACACUUGGUAAGGCAAGUGAUUUCCAACCAUGGAAAUGCACUAGUUUACCCCUUGCGAGCCUUUGGGAGGUGACUUGAAGGUAGGAUUUUCUGGAAUUGCCAACACUUGGUAAGCUUUUGGACUCCAAGGAGACAUCCAUUAGUUAUCUCUUGCGAGCUUGAGAAGGGAAGUCCAAGGUUAAAGAUCAUCUUGAAUGGUAAGUGCUCGUGAGAGGCAUGAACCAUUGCAAGUUGCAUCAGUGAGAGGGAUUUAGUGUUUGAACCCAUUAAUGGGAAGCAUCUGUAUAACACCGGUUGGAGAAGGAACUAUAUGUUAAUUCUCUAAUGCGAGGAAAAGAAACAAGUGACCGGAACUCUCCUUUUUGUAUGAGGAACCUGAGCCUAGUGAUCUAAACUCCAAGAAACACUUUUCUUUGUAAGUAAAAUCAGUUACUAUUUUUGGUUAGUUUAAAACCAAACUUUUUUUUUCAUUCAAACAAAUUUAUGUUUUCUUUUAAAGCUAACCUUGAAAUGAAAAGGCACCAAUUCAACUUUGAAUUAACAUCAUUUGUGAAGUGAAAACCCAUCCCAGUGAACGAUCCUAGAGCCACUAUGCUAUAGUAGCUUUGUCUUUGCUACCCUAGUAUAUGGUGUAAUAGGUUAUAAAUUUUGUUGAUUAGUCCCUCAAUCAAGGAGCACCAGCUGGACACGAAUCAGCUGAGACACCAAUUGGGCACGAAUCAAAUGGCGCCGUUGCCGGGGAUCGAACCUCGAAUCAAAUGGUGCCAUUGCCACUGCCGCUGCUAGGGACGAAUCAGCAGCCGCGGCUUCCGACGCCGUUCCAGAGGGGCGCUUCAGGCUCACUGGUGGCGCACGCUUCUGGCGCUUCAGGCCGCGCCGUUGAGGCACGGCUCAGACGUGCAGUUCUAGCGCGCCUUCAAGCGCUGUAUUCGGCGAAGGGCGCCACUGCAGCGCCGUUGAGGCGCAGUUCAGGCACGGUUCGGGCGCCACUCCAACGCCAUGAAGGCGCCGUCUCCGGCGCGGUUAAGGGUGCUGCUGAGGGCACCAUUAAGUGCGACGCUGGUGCGUCGCGUGUGUGUGCGGUUCAGGAGAGCCUGGUGCGCGGCUGAGGGGCAUCAGCGCCAUUGGAGGCACUUCGGGCGGCGCGCUGGUGGUGUGCGCUGCAGGCGGGGCCUGUGCGCGUUGCAGGCGCGACCUCCGACGCCGUUCCGGGGGGGUGCUUCCGACGCCGUUCCUGUUUAAGGGGCGCACUUUAGGCGUCGUGCUAUUGCAGGCUGCCAACGCCAUGAAUGGCGUUUAUGAUAAAAAAAAAAAAAGAAAAAAAAAAGAAAAAAAGAAAAAUGGAGGAAAGGCCACCUAGAGAGCUUGAACCCAUGACUUGGUUGUUCCAAGGCCACGACUGAACCACUACACUAAGUUUCUAUUUUAUGCAUUAAUUGGUAUAUAUAUAUAUAUAUAUAUAUAUAUAUAUAUAUAUAUUCUUGUAUUUAUGCUUUAAUUGAUAUAUAUAUACAUGCUGUUAUGUUUCAAUUGGUAUGGAUAUAUACAUAAGUUUAUGCAUAAAUAAAUAGAUGAAUAAUUUUAAUUAAAUUAUUUCUUACUAUAUUUGUGUUUUAUAUUUUAAAAUAAAUGAAUUAUGUAUAUCGGUUGCCAAAGUAACUUAUAUUAUAUAAUUUAUUUAUUUUACAAUAUCUAAAUAUGUUAUUAUUAUUAUUUAAAAUAAUCGGCCCAAAGGAAGAUUAUUUUAAUAUAAUAAUAGAUAAAGUAGUCAUAAAUAUGUGACAUAUAAUGUUUAUCUUGCAUUCGAUAUGUUAGUCCAAAGACAGACAUAUUGUUUUCGAUUUUAUUGUUAAUAUUUAUGAAUUAAUUUUGUAUAAGGAUACCAAUUACAAGUUAAUAUUUUUGUCCAAAGACUGAAUAUUAAUGUUUGUGCUAGGUAUCUUGCAUGAUGUUUAUUUAUUCAUGUAUGUAUGAUGCUUAUUUGACUGAUUGUGAGCUUUAUUAUUAUGAAUUUAACAUCUUCUAUAUCUGCAAAUGUGAAUAACAUUCCUGUGCUUAAUGGCACAAACUUCAAGAAAUGGAAAGAGCACGUUAUAAUUGUGCUCGGGUGCAUGGAUUUAGACUUUGCAUUAAGGGAGGAUCGCCCUUCAUAUCUUACUAGUGCUAGCACUGCUAAGCAAAGGUCUACUAUGGAAAAAUGGGAGCGAUCCAAUCGCAUGAGUCUAAUGAUUAUGAAGCACUCAAUUCCAGAAGCAAUAAGGGGUGCAAUACCUGAGGAAACCCAAGCCAAGGCAUUCUUAGACCAGAUAGCAAACCGAUUUGCUGCAAACGAAAAGGUUGAGACAAACACUAUUUUUAGUAAGCUUGUCUCUAUGCAGUAUAAAGGGAAAGAGAAUAUCAGGGAGUACAUUAUGGAAAUGUCUAAUCUUGUGACGAGACUCAAGGCAUUAAAGUUAGAGUUGUCGGAAGACAUACUCGUGCACUUGGUCUUGAUCUCUCUGCCUACACAAUUCAGUCCAUUCAAAAUUAGUUACAAUACACAAAAGGAAAAAUGGACUUUGAAUGAGCUUAUUGCUCAAUGUGUGCAAGAGGAAGAGAGAUUGAAGCAAGAAAAGAUAGAAAGUGCUCAAUUGGCUUCCACAUCUCAGGGUUUUGUACCAAUAAGAAAAGAAAGAGGGACAAUAAAGGAAAAAAAACUGCAGUUUCUGGGACAUCAAAGCAAAAGGAGCAAAAGAAACAAGAUAAGGAGAUCACUUGUUUCUUUUGCAAGAAGGCUGGUCAUAUGAAGAAGACAUGUACCAAGUACGCUGCUUGGCGUGAAAAGAAAGGUACACUUCUCAACUUUGUUUGUUCAGAAAUUAAUUUAGCUGUAGUGCCUACUGACACUUGGUGGAUAGAUACGGGUGCAACUACUCACAUAAGUGUCACUAUGCAGGGUUGCCUAAGGAGCCGAAUGCCAACUGAUGGUGAAAGAUACAUCUAUGUGGGAAAUGGCAACAAGGCUGCAGUCAAGGCUAUUGGUCUUUUCAGAUUACAGUUAGACUCUGGAUGUACAUUGGAUUUGGAAGAGACUUUUGUAGUACCGUCAUUUAGACGGAAUUUAAUUUCUGUUUCAUGUUUGGACAAAUUUGGAUAUUGUUGUUCAUUUGGAAAUGGAAUGGUUAGUCUUUAUCUAAAUUCAAAUAUUAUUGGUACAGGUAGUCUAACAGACAAACUAUAUAAAUUAAACAUAAAGACCACUAAUAGAAAUGAAACCUUGCAUUCAAGUAAUUAUGGCAUUAAGCGAAAAUUAAUGAAUGAGAAUUCAUCAAUGUUAUGGCACAAGCGUUUGGGUCAUAUUUCAAAUCAACGAAUACAAAGACUUGUGUCAGAUGGAAUUCUCGAUCCACUUGAUUUCUCAGACUUUCAAGUCUGUAUAGAGUGCAUUAAAGGAAAACAAACAAAUAUGAAGAAAAAGAAUGCCAAUAGGUGCAGUGACGUCUUGGAAUUGAUACAUACAGACAUUUGUGGUCCAUUUCCUACCCUUUCAUGGAAUGGACAACAAUAUUUUAUCACUUUCAUUGACGAUUACUUGUGUUAUGGCUAUCUUUAUUUGAUUCAUGAAAAAUCUCAGUCAUUGGAUGUGUUCAAAAAUUUCAAAGCUGAAGUUGAGAACCAACUAAGCAA
rnacentral:lncRNA from 1 species